UGUGACUCACAUAGUCUGAUGAGGAAAUCCCAACUGAAAUUUACUUCUUUCUUCACCCAACUUGACCUAACUUCAAAGCCUAUAAAAACUACCUUUCAGAAGACUUUUAAGAGAGAGAAAUACCAUAUUGACGUUUGAGAGUCAAGCCACAGAGUCAUUGAAGGAAUUUGAAGGAUUCAAGGAGAUUUGGAGAUCAAGAAUACAAUCCUUGGUUUUUUCUAUCUUUUUGUUAUUCUUUUAUUCUCUUGGUUUUAAUGUUUAAAUUUUAUUCAAUGAUGAUGUGUGAUUUGAUGGGGAACUAAAUUGUUAAUCUAAGAUUAUGAUUGAACUCAAUACGUAGUCUGAAUUAUUUAUUUCUCUUUUACUUAUGUUUGAUAGAUUUAAGUUGUUAAUUUUAUUCUAUUCUUAAUGCUUCUAGUUGACUGGCAGUUUAGGUAGGUUAAACCUUAAUGAAAGAGAUUUAGGUAGACCUUGAAUAGAAUAGCGUAUGAUUGAAUGCACUUAGUUGAUUAGGUGAUUGAUUUGCAUAUAGGAUAGAUAUACACCUAUAAUCCAUAUGUAGCCAAAAUUAGAGCACAAACUUAAUGAAUCUUUCUACAAUAUAAUUUGCAUAGACAUAUAGUAAAUUAAUUGAAAAAUGUAUUUUUAUGAGAAACUCGACAAAAACUUGUAAAUAAUUUAAGACUCUAGGUUAGCAACUUAAUCUAUUAAACUAAGUUAAGAUAGAAAGACAAUAUUCAGAUGAAAUAUUGAAGAUAUCAUAAUUUUAGAUCUGGUAGUUGCUCAAAUUUAAUAAAGUAAAUUUACUAAUAGAUUUUAGAUUAGUUUUAAUUAUAGUUUUUAGUUUAUUAAUUUAAAUUUUUCUUGUUUUAAUUAUUUAGAUAAAAUUAAGGUGUGUUAAUUUUAGUAGUUAAUAAUAAGGAUUAAUUCAAUUCUACUCAUCUCUAUAUUAUCUUUGCAAUACGCGUACUUAUGUGAGUAAAAAAUUAAACAACACCACCCCUACCAAUUUUGGUGACUAAAAAAAAAAUGUCACAUAAUACCUUUUGAAGUAGCCGAAUUUGGGUGACAAGGGAAUCACCUCCAACUACCUUAAACUCGAGAUAUGAAUUAGAAGUGAGUAAAUGGGUGGAUUAGGUAGUUUGGUCCACCAUACCUAAGAAUCAAAUGGACCAAUCAUUUUUAAAAAAUCGAUCAAAUAUAAUGGAAGACCAAAUAGACCAAACAUAGAAUUGAUUUGGUUGAUCCGGUUUUGAACCAAUGGAUCAAAAUUUUAUCACCUUUUGGUUACAAAUUAUAAUAUUAAAACUUAUAAACUUCAUCCAUAAUUAUAUAUAUAUGAAAUUAAUUAUAUAACUUAUAUGUUAUAAUAUUUUAUAUUGAAGUUUGUAUAAAUAAUAACUAAUUAUAAACAAUAUGUUAUAAAAUCUAAAGUUAUAGCUAAUAAACUUAUUAAGCAUAAUCAUAUAAAUAAAAUUUAUUAUAAGUUAUAGUAAUACUUAUAUAUAAAUUAAAUAUAUGUAUAUAUAUAAUAUAUUACAUUAUUAUAUAUAUGUAAAAUAUAUGAUACAAAUUAUAUGUUAAACUGUUUUAUAUAAUUAUAUAAAUAAAAUCAAUUAUAAGUUAUAGUAAUGCUUAUGUAUAAAUUAAAUAUAUGACUUUAUUAUAUAUAUAUAUAUAAUUAAUGACAUAACUUAUAUGUUAUAAUGUUUUAUAUCAACGUUUGUAUAAAUAAUAACUAAUUAUAAACAAUAUGCUAUAAAAUCUAAGGUAAUAACUAAUAAAAUUAUUAAAUAUAAUCAUAUAAAUAAAGUUUAUUAUAAUUAUAGUAAUGCUUAUGUAUAUGUAUAUAUAAUGUAUUUAUACAAUUAUAUAUAUAUAUAUAUAUAUUCAUACCAUUUUAUAUUUCGAAACAUUACUAAAGAGUAAUAAUUAUAACAUAAUAAUAUGUAAGAUAUUUACUAUUAUAUAUUAUAAUAUUAACAUAUAACUUAUAUUAUUUAAAAUAUAUAACUUGUAAUUUCAUAUUAAUACAGAUUUAUAAAUAAAUAAAUAUAUAUAACUAAUAUUAAAUUACUAUGAUUAUGAUUUGUAUACAUACAUAUAAUACUUUAAUAUAUUUUAAAUAUAUUAUUAAUUAAGUUUACUAUCAAUUCUUCUUAAUAUAUAAAAAAAUAUUAUAUAUAUGACUAUAUACAACAAUAUAUAAAAAAUUAGUUUUAUUUUUUAGGUGGAUUGGUCCAAAAAUUUUAAAACCGAGAAUCAAUCAAAAAAUCAAUUGGACCAAUUGAUCUAAUGGAUCAAUUAGACUGAACUAUUUUACUCAAAUCGUAUUUGAUUUAAGUAGGUAAUUAAUUUGGAUUGGUUUUACUCAUUACUAAUAUGAAUUCUCGAGCUGUAUUAUAAAUAGCAACCUGGAGGAGGAGAAAAGGGGACCCCAGAAAGGUGUUUUCGGCGGUUUCACAGAAAAUUGUGAUGAAAAAUAGCUUUCAUUCCCAAAUAAAAGGAGCAGCCAAACAAUAAAUUAGGUGAAAAAGAGUUUUAUUCCGAAACCGAAAAGAGCAGCCAAACUCGAUGCCAAACAGAAGUGCGUCCAUGGAACUUUGACAAAACUGGUGGUGGAAAAGCUCUUUUACGAAUGGUGUUUGGCUUUGAGCAGCCUAACUCAAUGCCAAACAGAAGUGCUUCCCCAUAGUUUGGUAAAAAUUGGGGAAAAGAGCUUUUAUUUCCAAAGGACGAGGUGUUUGGCUUUUGGCUUUCGGCUUUAAGCAGCCUAACUCAAUGCCAAGCGAAGGAUUUUAAUGAAUUAAAAAGUUCUUGAAAUAUUUAAAAAACAUUUAAAUAAAAAUCUUUAUUUUCUUAUUAUAUUUAAUCAAAAUUUUAUAUUUUUAUUUUAAAUUAAAUAAAUAGUUACAAUUAAUCAUAAAUUAACUAUCAUUAAUCAAAAUUAUAUUUAUCAUUUUUAUGCCAACGUUGUAUUAAUGUGAUACUAUAGUAAAGGUCAUCAUUUCCCAUGAAUAUAUUAAUGUCAUAACAACAUCACGUGGUGUAAAAUAAUAAGUAUGAUUUUGAUUAACAAUAAUUAGUCCUUCAUCAGUUAUGAAGACUUAUUUAGUUUAAAAUAAAAUAUGAAAACCUUAAUUUUGAUUAACAAUAAUUAUUCCUCCAUCAAUUAUAAAGACUUAUUUAGUUCAAAAUAAAAAUAUAAAAAGUUUAAAAUAAAAUAUAAAAACUUUAAUUUUGAUUAACAAUAAUUAGUCCUCUAUCAAUUAUGAAGACUUAUUUAGAUUAAAAUAAAAAUAUAAAAAUUUUAUUAAAUAUAAUAAAAUAAUGAACACGGAUAAUUGGGCCAACAAGUAUUAGUGUCAUGAUCCUCAUUAACCUUUAUGGAGCAUUGUUAGUUUUGACUCGUUAGUCUCAUGGUUUUGUCCCACAAAAACAUCUCACAAGUUAAAAGUAGUGUGAAUCAUUAAAUGUCCAAUCUCAAUUUAAUACACAAUUGAUGUAGGAUUCGUGGCUCCUUUUAAAACCCCGACAUCCUCUCUUAGCUCUUUUUUGAGAGCUUUUCUUCGAUAUCAGAUUUUUGGCUCUAUCCAUUAGGAGCAUACGAUGUGAGAUUCACGUAGUUCCCUAUUGAGACCAUAACAUCUUCCUUUACUUCAAUAACGACCCAUUGUCCUCAGUGACACAUCAUUAGUGUCUUAGAAUCCACUUUAAUACCAAUUAUUACGGACUACACCAUUUAGCUCAAGUACGCAAUAACUUGCGCGAUGCUUAGAUAGACGCUUCCACACAAGCUAGUCAAGAACUUGAUUAAAUCUAAGUAAACAUCAAUUAUAACCAUGAGUUAAUUUACAAAAUGUAAUAUCAAAAUUAUACGGUAUAACGAAUGUCAUAUACGUAAUUAUUGGUUCCACAUAAAAGAAAAAUGAUUUUAUUAAUAUUGAAAUGUAUAAAGGGGUCGAGAGUACCAUCACACCAUUGUUGGGUUAUAAAGGUAGUCAUAGAUGGUUAGCCACAAAUAUACUUUAAUUAGUAGAGUAAUUGAAUAAUCUAUCGGCUGCUCACAUUCUAUAUAGAGCUGAUUUUCUUUUGCAUUUAUGCCACUAAGCACCAUUUACAAUAUGUGAAAUGGGGGUACUCCUUUUUGGCCUUAACAAAUUUUUAAAAAUACGUUACCAAAUAUUAUUACAUUCUUUAAAAUGGAGACAUUUCUCCAAGGUGACUUAGUCUCACAGAUAAUUCUACCUAUCAUGACCAUAUACAAAGAUUGACUUAUGACAUCUAGCUUACUUGGCAGUUAAUAUCGUCUAUUUAACACUUUGCUUACCGUCCAUGGGCUGUGAAAGGGGCGCUGAAUCUCUCUUUUGAAGUAUCCCAAUUUGUUUUGCUUCUGCAUGAUUAGAGUUUUUUGGCUGCUCUUUUACGUGAUAGAGAGAUAAAAAUGGGUUCUUUCGAGUUAACGAAUAAGCCUCAUGCCGGUUGUAUUCCAUUCCCUGCUCAAGGCCACAUCAAUCCCGUGCUAAACCUCGAAAAAAAAAAAAAGAAAGAAAAUUCAAAUAAAAUUGUUGCAACUAAAUUGAACGAACAUUAAAUUGAACAAAAAAUUUUCUUGAACUUAGCACUAUUUCUUUUUUCCAGAAAUACAUUGGUGCUCCUGUUUAAUAAACAGAAGAAGAAAAAGAAAAUGAAAAACCUCUUUUGUUUUUAAAUUGUAAGUUGUAACUCCCAUUGACAGCCGGAUGAACCCACGGGCCAGGACAUAGUAGGUGUCUUUCAACACCCAUUCAAAGCUGGAUUCAACGUGUUGUUUGCCCAAACCCAAUUUUCGUCAAAUUUAUUAUGACACCAACUUUAAAACCCAAGGCCCAAAUUUAUCAUUACACCUACAGAAUUCUCCCACCAUAGCAUUUCGUGGCUUCCUCCACCUUUAGAAUUUAUAAUGCCUUUCCAAUUUGACAUUAACCCUAUAAAAUUAAUGUAGAUGGAAAAUGAUUAACAACAUAAAAUACACUUGAAAUUCCCCUACCGCAUGAUUGACAAAAUGAGGGAUCUGUUUAAUUGAAAAACGUUGCUACUAUUUCCAAACUCCUAUUUGGGAGUGUUAUUUAAAAGAGGAAUAGUAUAUAUAUAUAUAUAUAUAAAAUAAAAUUAAGAAAAGGAAAGACCUAAUGAUUUGAAUAAUGCUUUCAAUUAUUUGUUAUUUAAAAAAUUGAAGAUUAUAUUUGACAGGCAAUUAAGAAAGUGGAUAUUGACACUCUUGACAGUUUCAUAAAUACUGAUUGUGAAAAGGAAUUUCAAUAUUUAGGUUACGUUUGGUGUAUUGUUGGGAGUGUGAUUAUUGAUAAUGUGAUUGCUGGAUAUAUGAUUGUUGAGAAUGUAAUUACUGAAAAUAUAAUUUAACAACAUUUGGUACAACAAGAGAAAGUGAUAAUUGCAGAGAAUGUGAUUGAUUUUAGUGUUUGGUUUGUAAGUACUGUACUGAAAAUGUAAUGUAAAUUGACAAAAUUAUCUUUAUAAUAAAAUAUAAAGUUAAAUUAAUUUAUAUUAUUUUUUAAUAUAAAAUUUUUUAACUUUUCAUUUUUUAUUCUUAAAAUAAUAAAUAAUACUAUGAUAAAAUAACAUGAUAUUUGAAUAUUAAUUUUUUUAAAUAUUAAAAUACAUGAAAUUCUAAAAUAUCUAUUUGUAGUAAAUUAAUUAAGUUUUAACAAAUUAAAUUAUUUAAUUUAAUUUUUUUAUAAAUAAAUUAGUUAAUUUAAAUAACUAAUUAAUAAGUUAAUAAAUAAAUUUAAUUAAUUUUUUCGUUUUCUUUUUCUUCAUCCCCCAGGUUCGUUUUCUUUUUCUUUUUUCCUCUCCUUCCUCCUUGCACCCAUCAUCAAAUUCAACAGUCCUGGGUAAUGCAAUCAGCAACAACAAAACACCCAACACAAGGAAAACAAUAACAAUCUCCAAUCAAAACUUCAUUAGCAGCAAAACAAGACAAAAAAAAAAAAAAACAAAGACGUGAAUCAAUAGCCCAACUUCAAUCAGUGAUGAAUUAUUAGAUCUGAUAGAUAAGCUGCAAGACCUCAACUUCAAACAAUCAGAUCUGAUAUCUGUAAGAUCUGAGAAUUUAAACAACAGACCAACUAGCCAACAAUAGCAGAUUUGAUACAGGUGAGUGGCUAGGGCAAGAAGAAGAAGAUGAUGAUGAUGAAUAGAAGGGAUACAGGUGAGUGGCUAGGGCAAGAAGAAGAAGAGAAAGGUCGAGCUAUGGUAGCAGUAUUUGGGAAAGAAAAAAAAAAAAACGUAACUUUCCCUUUACAAAGUGUAAAUUACUUUGCAUUCAUGAGGGAAGGGAAUCACAUACCCUUUACCCAUUGUAAUGACAUAACGAUGGAAACACUUUACAAUCUAUUUUACACAAACCAAACAUUGUAAUGUGAAUACAUUUAUUUAAAAUACAAGGAAUGUUCUUCACAUGCGGCAUACCAAAAGCCUCCUUAUUCUCCAGGACACUCGUUUUGGACGUUUAAAGUGGGUUAGGGGGGAGAAGAAAAGGGUGGGGCGAAAAGGACUGUAUGCUCUCUAUUUCCUUCUGCCUCCAAUAAUAACUUAGAGUAUGAGUGGGGUCUUAAUCAUUUGAAGUUACUCUAUCAUUCUGGCCCUGUGGGUCUUUCGCUUUUGGUGUAAUCUCGGAUAUCCUAUACAUGAUUAGCUCAAAGUAUUUGCAUAAAAUCAAACUGAAGGACACUUUUUUUGGAGAAAUCAUUCUUAAGUGAAUUCUUAUAAUUGAUGGCUUUGUAGCCAUCCACAUUCCUUUCAUUAGUGAUGUAGGAGAUUCUGAGCUGAGUAAAAUGUUGGGUUAUUGUUGUUUUCUUCGGCUCUAGGUUUAAAUUUUGCUAUGAAACUAACUAAGAAAGUUCUUUCUGUGUUGCAGUCUAAAACGUUUGCUAUGCGACCGUGUAGGUUGCCUAUCAAUGAAGAAAAAGAAAAAAACUGUGUCGUUGCUUAAUAUGGAGCAGAAUCAAAGUUUUUUUUUUUUUUUAAGGCAUAAGUAUUGAUUUCAUUGAUAAAGUUUACAGCACCAAAAAAUACCAUGGCAAAGGUAGUACCACUGCAGGCGGCACACAAGGAGACAUGAAACCCCCCACCUGCGCACAUCCUGCUAAUAAGAAACAUAAAAACCCAGGAGGGCAGAGGCAAGUUAACUUUUCUGCUUAUUACUUAUUUGGCAUAAGUUUAUAUACAUAUUUACUAGUUUGCUAGAAUUUAAAUUGUGCCAAUAUGCCUUUUUUGUUUAUUCAGAAAAUAAAAUAGUAAGAGUUGGCGAAAUCUUUUCUUUUACUUCUUCUAUGUUUUACAAUAUUCGACAUACAGAUAAUACUAGUGCUUUUGCUAAUAUUGCCAUCAUGAGCUGUAUACUGUUCAACACCAAAAAGAAAAAAUAAAUAACAUUCCUUAGUUAACUAAUACUACUCUAUAUUAUGUACCAAUACUUAGUUUUCACUAGUCACACAAGGAACUCAUUAUUUGAAAUAAUUCUACAAGGACAACCAAAAAAAAAAAGAAAGUAAAAAAUGUUCUUCAAAAUUAAUAUUGUAUUAUAUUAAUAUAAGAACAUUAUUAACCUGUAUAUGACUGUAUUAGUUUAUGCUUGGGUUAUUUGUUUAAAUUAAAGUUAAUGAUUUUUUAUUGAGAAUUUUGUUGCUUUUAUCACAGUAGUAAUUCCAUGGAUUUACUAGCUGUUUUACCCAAAUGUUGUAAUACCAGAGCAGUUACUUUUAAUGAUAGCAGUGUUGCCUCGGAACUUAAGAUUAUGGGCAUGUUUUCCAACGUUGCCCAAGCAACACACCAUAUAUAUUUAGACAGAGGCGGAGGGUAAAGGAUAUUGGAUUUUGAAAAUUUUCACUUAUUAUAUAUAUUUGUAAUGAUUUUUAAAAAUUUUUAAAAAUUUUUAUUUAUUAUUUUCUUUUAAUGCAUCUCAAAAUAAUUUUUUAUUUAAUAAUUAAUAUAAUUAAGAAAUAAUAAAAUAAUUCCGCAAAUUAUAGUCAACUUUACCCUAAUUUAAGUUACUCCACAUCUUUUUCUCUCUUUCUUUUUCUCUUUCUCUUUUUUUUUUUUUAAAGUUAAGGAAUUCAUUGAUAAAAGGGAUAAAUGAAUCUCCUCUUUCUCUUUUUUUUUUUAAUUUUUACUUUUUACUCUUUUCUUUAUAACUCACCACUAAACCACACUUCAUUCUUCAAAAGAAAUUUAUAAGCUUGUGAGCUUGGAUAAGAAAAAAUAAAGACCACUCACUACUAUAGUAUGAAAUUAAGAGGAGGAAAAGUUUUUGUUUUUAAUCUUCUUCCUUUUAUUUAUAUUAUUUAACUAUUUAUAUAUUUAAUUAUUGGGUGAAAUCUUGUAUAUUGUAUUUAACUAUUUAUAUUUUAUGCAUUAUAGUUCUAUAUUUAAUAUUUUAAGUUUAACUAAAAAUAAAAUAAGAAUAUCGAAUGUUGACUGCAUUACUUUGGAACCUUUUUAAUAAUAAAAACUGUGAAAAUAAGAUUUCAAAACAAAAUGGAUAAUGAGUUUUUUGUAUAUAACUUAGUUGUUUAUAUUGAGAAAAAUAUUGCUAGUCUUAAAAAGUACAAACUCUAUAAUUAAUGAAUUUAAAUUCAGAAAAUAUUGUCGAGCACAAUUUUUUAAAAACUAUUGUAAAUUUUUCUUUUCUUAUUUUUUUAUUUACAUGUUAUAUAAAAUUAUAACUUAUUAUAAAUUUUUUAAUUAUUAAUUAAAUUAAUCAUAUUAAUCUUAAAAAUAUUUAGCUUUUAUUCCUUUUCCACAAUGACCCCCUCAAUAAAAAUUGAUUAACUCUGCCCUUAUAUUUAGAGACCCACUUCUGCUAAACGUAGUAGCAGCCGCACACAUAAGACCACAUGUUUUGCCAGUUUGCGUUCAGAGGCAGAGAAAUUCUUGCACUUCAUGAUGCUUUGUUACGUCAAGAAUCCAAUGUUUUUUCACGUCAAGAUGAUAUCCUGUUGUCAUUGUUUUGUUAGCCAAACAUAGCACCGCUCCUAUACACAUGAUUGUCUGUAGUCGAUGUCUCAGUUCUGCCUCAACAGGAGAUACCCUAAUAAUAUUCUAGCAAACUCACUAGCCUAUGUUUCAUCCUUAUGUUGUUGUUUUUAUCCUCUUUCUUGGAUAUUUAUAUCUUGGACUGAUCAGCCCUACGAUUUGUUCAAGAGCCUGAAAAUCGACGCUAGAGGAAGCAAUCAGGCUGGUUAUUGCCCUGCGCUGUUCCAAUUCACUGUUGCAAUACCCAAAAAUGAAGCAUUGCACCAUGCAAUAAUGUAAUGAAAAAAAUAUUAACAUAUCUGAGCUGCAUAUUUGUUUUUCAAAGACACUGUUUUACUCUUGAAUGGUAUGAAAAUUACUCGAAAACUAUCAUAUUCCUUAAUUAAUUCUAAAAGAACCCGUCUAAAUUUAGUGAAAAAAAAAACUAGUAGUGGUAGUAUUUAUUUUAGAAGGUUGAGGAAAAUUUCAGACAUGUAGGGAAGAUGCAGUAUCCUCAAGUACCUCAACCCCAUCAAAUGAUGGAGGAAAAGGGCCGUGGCCAGAACCAAAUGCUUUGAUGUGGUCUUUGAGUGAUCUCUUAUGCUUGAAAUCAGAACCGCAGACGCAAAGCCAACGCUUGCCACAAUUUUUCUCAUGGGUUCUCCAGUCACCUUUCACUGCCAAGAACUUCCCGCACUUGCGGCACAUAAAGGGUUUUAGCCCGUGUUUCCUCUUAUAAUGUGUUUGCAAUGUCCUAAAAUCUUUUAGCGGCUUUGCUCUCGCGUGUUCGAUGUUGUUUUUGCAUCCUUCCGCACAGCAGUAGCAUGGAAUGCCCAGCAUGGCUCGCGGUUGGGUUCCUUUGAGGGACUCAGGCCCUUUACGAUACUGUGAACCAUGACCCCACAUGUGCAUCUGCAAUAGAAAUCAAAGCAUAUUCAAGAGGUAAGUCAGUCAGGUAAGCACAGACAAUAGCAUGGAAUUUGAUGUUAAAAUGUUGCAGAGUAAUUGCACCUGAAGGUUAUUGUAACGGUUGAAGGUCUUAAAGCAGACAUGGCAAGAAAAAUUUGUGAAGCCAAUGAGGAUUUGUUCAGGAGUUGGGAUCCAAUACUGUUUAGCAGCUCCAUUUGCGGUGUCCUUGCCAUUUGGACUGAAUGGGGUAUUGGAAGGAUCAGGAAGGCCAAUGUGCAAGGCUACGGUGACAUCCUCUUUAUCUUCACUGCAUUCUGCUUUAGGGUUACCAUCCAAUGUUGUGUCGCUAGAGCCAAGAAAGCAGCUCAGCAAUGGCAUAGGCUCAAGUGAAUUUUGCAUUGCGCCUGGAAAGAGAUCAAGAGGCUCAACAUCAGUAUGGUUAUUUGUACUAGAAACAAGAUCAGAAUCGUAUGAAAUAUCUGAAGGCUCCAUGACAUAAGGGGCCGCAAGAGAAUACUAGUAUAAAGAAGAAUGUGGCGUUUAUUUAUUUAAUUUGGGAGGUUUUAUAAUUGGAUUCUGGCCAAUUUUUACAGGGUGAUCAUGAGACUUAAAGUCUGUGGUAACAGAAGAAAGUUGAGAGAGAACGAGAAUUGAGGUAGGGUGGCUGGAGAAUAAUGCAGUUGAACGAAAACAACCUUUGUGAAGGGGCUCAUAAAUAUCUCCUGCCUUUUAUGUUUAUCUACUCUUGGGAUGGAAGGGAAAUACCUUAAAUUCUGUGGCCCAAGGCUUCUGACUUUAGAAAGAAUUGCAUUACAGAAGGUUGAAAUUCUGUGGCAAUGUAUUAUAUAGUCUGGUUUACUCUCACCAGUAGUCAACACCACCUUGGGUAUUAGAUCGACAAUUCCUUGCAGGGAUGAAAUGAUUCUAUUUCUACUUAGGGACUCUGACUCUGAAAAUCUUUUUCCUUUUUUUUUCUUUUUUCAUUUACAUGUCUUUUCAACAUUCACAUCAUACCAUUGGAUAUUCAUAAUAAUCGAGUUAACAAGAAAACUCUAAUUCCAUAGUCAAUAUGUAAAAUCAAUUGGAAAAUGUGCACAAAAAUAACUGUGACGGUGAAUUCAUGAGGGUAUAGACAUAUAGCCUUACUUUGAAAACAGGCUUUCCUGUGUGCACGGAUGUACCUGGUAUGCAUACAAUUACAUAGACAAAUGAUGACUAGUCAACUCAACUUAGCAUGAAGCUAGCUAGCUAUGAGCUACCUGUGGCCCUCUUGGCAGGCAUGCAUGGUCAGGAAAUUUGUUGCUAAAGUAAUGAUCUUUUUCUUGUGUCAUCCACGAUGCAGAAACCCUAGCCCCGGACCACCAAAACUAACACUAGCUACUAUCAAUACUCCUCAGUUUUUUCAUAUUAGUUUUUGAAGUAUUUUUUUAAAAAUAAUUUUUAAAAAUAAGAUAUUUUAAAAAAUAGUAUUUUUAUAAUUUUAAUAAUUUUUAAUCAAAUUGAAUAAAAUUAUUUUUAAUAAAAUUACGCGUCAUGAUGUUACAAAUUACGUACAAAAAUAUGUUACACGUCAUGUACAAAAACAUGUUAUCGUCAUGGUUAAAAAAUAUUGUUACACGUUAUGUUGAAAAAAAAUAUUAUUAUUACACGUCAUAUUAAAAAACAUUUUAUUACACUUUAAUGUCUAAAAUGUUACUCUUACUUACGAACUAAAACUUCAAAUCCUCUUUAACUCUCUUCAUUUUUUUUAUUUUUUUGAUAAUUUGGCACUGAUUAAAGUAUUUCUAACAUAGUUUCAUAAAUCAAAACACAAAUUUUUUUUAUCUAAAACACCUAUAUCGACUAAAAAAAAAAUCUCUGAAAACUUAGGUUUAUAAAUUUCAAAUUCUUGUGUUUAUUGGUGUCUAGGUACUGAAUUUAUCCAAUUAAAAGCUAUUUCAAACAUCUGUGAUCAUUUCUACCGUUUUAGUUUUAUCCAAAAUACUUGAAAAUUAGAUUUUUCAAAUAGCCACCUACCUAAGCACUUCAAAACCAUUGCUUGGUGUUUUGAAAGUACAGGAAAGAGAAAUCUGAAAGCGCGAAAAAGAGAAAUCGAGAACAUAACAGACGAAUACCGAAAAGAGAAAUUGAUAAAAUUAAAGAGAGUGGAAUGGUGAGAGAGAGAAAUCGAAAGUAUAAAUGGAAAGAAAUUGUGAUGAAUAAUUUAAUUUAUUUGAAAUAGUUUCAAAGAUAUUUUUGUCAAGUCAUAACUAAAUAUGACUAAAAAUAAUUAAAUUUAUUUUAAUAAUUACUUGUAAGAUAUCCUUAUAAAAAAAAUUAUUCUUCAUAAUUUCCUCUUAGUUUUCCUCCAUCUAUUACAACUACUUUUUUGAGUCUUUUACAUCUCCUCAAUAUUCCAACUGUUCUAUUCCACCUAGCUAACUACUGGUCUCUAGUCUACUGAAUUAAUGGAUGGGGCUCAGUUUUUUUUAUUUUUUAACCUGGAAUCUACUCCCCUAAUAUUUGAAGCACCAAUGCCCGAAUUUGGCUACAGAGGCAAAGGUGACAAACACUAGUAGUAGCAAAAUUGUUUAUUGCGGCAAUGCUUUGUUUGGACCCAUCUGAUCAUAAAACUGGAAAGAGAGUGGUACAACUAAACUAGUGUGCCAAUAGUUGACUAAUGGUUCUAUAACUAAUCUCCAUUCAAGACACUAGCCAGCAGAAUAUAUUGUAAAAUGAACUGUUUUGAUAAAUUUAUAGUCCAUCACCUCCAAGGAGGCUCGCUUUUUACCAUAAUUUAACCUUGAGAUAACUCUAUGGUGAAACUUCUGGCUUAAUUUGAGUACCAUGGUACUAACUUUGUUAAUGGUACUAAUUUUGAAAGACUAAUUAGUUUCCCCUCACAUUUGGUGUUUCAAUUCCCUAAACGAUUGAAAUAUCGACAAAAGUGGAAAAGAGAAAUGCCUUGCAGAACUUAUAAAAGCUACAUCAUCCAGAUAAUUGCUGGAAAAGGACACAUUUUCAUUUUCCCUCAUCUGGGUAGCAUCCAGGGGCACAUAUUUAUUGAACGACACCACCAUGCAAAGGAUGGUCUGCGAGGUCUUACGAAGCAAAUCUUCUCCAUAGAUUUUCUUGGAUAUUAACACCAAGAACGGAAGCCAAAGAUGUAAAUGAGCUAUUACUGCUCUCCAAUAACCUGAUCAUCCCACUGUUUUCAAUUACAAAUUCCCUGUAAUGCUCACAGUGGCAAAAAAAAAAAUCAAUUUUAAAUAGUGAAAACAUAUUGCUAACUAAACAAAAUUACCAAUCAGAGGGAACCAAACUGAAUUUAUCAUUUCAGUUUAGUCCGGUCUGGUUUCAGCACACCUUUGAACUUGAACCAAAGCAUAUAUUGUACCAAUGACGAUUGUAUGUCUAGAGUUUGUCCAUGUUACCCUCAUAAUUCAUCGAAUAUCGUGCAGCUUUGUUUUUUAUCAACCCCCUUAGACCAAAAAAAAACAAAAGAACAAAAUGACGAUGAGAGCUAAAAUGUUAAUCAAAAUUUUUUUAUUGAGGGAAUGCGCUUCCCUCCGUUCGUUCAUAGUUCAUACAAUUCUGUAAAGGAUGUUAAACUCUUAAUGAAUGAAUCACUUCAAUGAAAACUUUUGGGGGAAAAAAUAGAUGAAUAUUUUUUUUGCCUUGAGAACUAAAGAGGAAAAAAAUCUGCAUAAGGUGGUUGAUUAGUCCUCCUUUUCCUGCCAUGGGCCGUAGCUGUGGUGAACACAAGUAGUAACUUGAUGCAGUACCCACCCUAUUGCUAAAUCGUUGAGAAUAUAAGAGUGAAAUAAGGUGAUAAGAAGAACAUAAACUUAUCAAGAUUGUACAAUUUGAACAUUUUGGCAGGGAUGAGUUCUUCCCCUUAAGUUUUUGGACUUUCAGAAGUGAUGGCCCCAGCUUCUGUUUCUGUGGAGGUUUGCUGUGGAGUCUGUGAAUCUGAGACCAAAAUCAGUAAUAAAAUUUAUUAUGAGCAUAUUUAUGUGAAAACAACAAACUAAUAAGAGACAUGGAGUCUAAUUUAAAAUUGUGCAUAUAUAUGUCUACAUUUCCAGAAACAAUGCCCCGCAAGUGAUGUCUCACUGAGAAACAGGGGCCCUCUGCCUGCCUAGUUUGCAUGUUAAGUCUUUAUACAUCACACUGGCCUGCGUGCAUUGUAAAUUUGGAAAUCUAAUGGCCAUGCAACUACUAUAAGAAUAUAGAGAGUCACUCUUUUACUGAACAUUUAUACAGCUACCAAAGACUCAGCAUACAAAAUGAUGACAAUUUGGGUUAGUACUGUUAAAUUUAAUGGGGGUUUCAAGACAAAUUUUGGCAAUCUUUCUUCCUCAAAUUACACAAAUAUGUAGAGCCAUUUUUUUUUAACCCGUCAUAUCUGAAGAGAGAUUAUGUGUUUGAUCAGUCCAGUAGAAAUGAAGAAGUGAAUAAUUUUGCCACUUAAAUUUGGUUGAACCAAAUCAUAUGGGAAUAAAAGAAAUGGUUAAAACAGUGGCAGUGCAUAACACGGUUAGUGGGCCUCUCCAUAUUCGACCACUUGACUGCAUGAUCAGAAUCAACCAUCAUCCUUGAUACUGAAACCACAUGCGGUCACUAUUAGUUUACACUAUGCUCCUCUGUCAUGACUUUCUAUUGACCCAUCUUUGGGCCAUGGCAAUAACCAGACAGCUCAUUCACAUGUUUGAGGUUGCCCAUGUGGCCCCGUCUCACCCCACCCCCUCUCCCCCCCUCCUUGGCGUAUGCUACACUAAACCCUAAUACUAUAUAUUAUCUCUGUCAGAGUGUGUAUGUGAAAAUCAGAGGAGGAAGAGACAUAAUUACUUCUUAAGAAUCAAUACAAUAAGUUCAUAACAUCUACGUAUAGCAUUGGAAAAGUUGAUAAUUUUAUGUUGGGAUAAAAUGGUAGUAAAAAAAUGAAAGUAACAGUGACCGAUGAAAAGUAUUAUUUACCUGUGGAAGAGGGAAAAGGAUACCUAGUGAGAUGAAAGGGCGGGGGAGGAUAGGUGGAGAAGGACCCCUCCAUCUGAGUAGGAUAGUAGAGAUAGGACGGUCCGGGGAUACGUUGAGCCUGGGGUGCAGAAAAAGUUCCCCUAGGAGCUUGCAAAGAAUACCCAUAAUAAUAUGGAGACCCCAUUGUGGUAGAUGAUGAUCCAUACAGUUGAUGAUAGUAUUGUGGCUGCUGAAUUUGUGGAUUAUAGAGGGCCUGCAGCAUUCCCAUUCAAUAACAUUCUUAUCAUACAUUCUUGGCUCAAGUUGUUUUUGCUUAAUAUUGAACAAAUACAACUUAUAAUUAUUAUUGGUUUGAGCUGAAUUAUGAUCUUAAGAAAUUGAGAGAGAGAGAGAGGUUUAAUAACUUACUUGGUGAUACCCAUAGUCAGGACUGUAAGUUGGGUACCUGUAGAGGUAGAAUUGAUCAAAAUUUUAGUGGAAAUAGGAGCAAACUACUUGAAAUUAAAAUUUAAAGAGAAAAAAAAAACUUUCCCUUGGAAGUAAUUGCUAGAAGCAGAAUCCUUAUAUAAUAAGGAAUUAAUGGUAGCUAGCAAAAGGGACUUAAUGCAAAGCUACCUUCAGGUCCUACCAUGAUAGCAAUUGUUAGUACUAAUGACAACAUUGGCUAUGGUAGGUACUGAAUAUUAAUUCAAGGUAUUUAUCUAAUAAAGUUUUACGCUCUAGUACGAAGAUAUCCAAGGACAAUAUUUAUGUGCGUAUAUAUAUAUAUAUAUAUAUAUAAAAGAUACCUGAUCAACAAAUAUAUUUUAGUCAGGAAUAUUUCCUUCAGUACUAAUAUCUGGCCUUCUACUGAUAUAUCUUUUCCUUUUCACACCGAAAUAUAUACGUUCGUAUGGGUAGUUACUGUCCCUACGCUCGUGCCCAAAGUUCCUUAUUCUAUUACUGAGCUCGUGAAGAUUAAGCGCCAGAAGGUAACCUCUUUUGAUUUUCCCCCUCAAAAUAAAUAAAUGCAGCUAAUAAAUAUAGGAAAAGUGGGAAAGAAAAUGGGUAUGCAUGAAUGUUAGAUGAUAAGGAAAAAUGUAGCUCAAGCUUCUACUGAUAUUUAAACAAAGAUAGAAACAGAGACAACAGCAAUUGGAUUUCAUCAUUUUACACUUGAUUUCCAUGCUUUUAACCAUUUUUAUUUAUGUAGUUGUUGUUUUUUGUACUGCAUUUACUAGCAAAACCCAAAGUAAAAGUUCAGAGUCACAAAAGUUAAAACCAAUUAAGAGGAAUUGGUCGUUUCUUCUAUUGGAACUUUAAUUAAAUGCUUCUACACAUCGAAAUGUUAACUGUAAAUGAGCUGGAUCAUUACUUGAAACUCUCUUGGCAGAUGAGGGCAUUGAACAAGUUAAUUAUUAUAACCUUUAUUUCUAUUUCUUAACAAUGUUUUGCUUUUACUCUGAGCUGCCAGGGUCUAUAAGCAAAUAGAAAGUUUAUGGUACAGAGCAUUAAUUAGCAGGCUAAAAAUUGAUCUCUUUGUAUAAACUCAUCUUUCUACAUCAUUUGGGACCACUUUGAUAUAUAAAUUUGGCACUACAAAGCAUUAGCCAUAGUUUCUGCUAAACUUGCUGGAUUUCCCAAUUUGAUUUACUGACUUAAUUUUCUUAUACCAUAAGAAUUAAACUACAUUAUGGAUUGGUUAAAUACGUGGAAGUAUGACCAUUUAUAGUAAGGGAUUGCAAACUCAAAUGUAUAUAUAUCAGGAUCAUUAAUGUCCAUAACUCUUCAUUGUUUCUUAAUUAGUAUAAAAUUAAUCAAGGAUUCUGCCCCCUCUGAUUAACAUUUUUCAUUUGUUGUUUUGGCCACAGCAAUGCCCCAAGAGGCUCAGUUUUAUGCCAGUAUGCCACGUUAUACCAUUGACUGCAUUGAUAUUGUAAGGUUCGCAAUUUUUUAUCUUAGUAAAUGACAAAUUUCUAGUCAAAUGCAAUAUUGAUUUACUAUGUACAGACUGAGAGGCCAACUGUAUUGUGGAAAGACAAAAUUAAACAUAAUUCAAGAUUAACAUUAACAUGUCUCAAGCAAAAGUUUUCAAGGGAUGGAGAGCUUCAUCUAAGUAGAGCAUGAACAGUAAACAAUAGCUUUAGUGAAAACAACAGGAGUGCUCACCCAUAAGGUGGAUAAAUGACUGGAGGUGGUGGUGGCGGAGGUGGAGGAACUGGUGCUGCAACUCCACUAUAAGAUGGUCCACCUUGCUGUGCAACUCCCUGAUAAGGACUGCUACCUUGAUUUCUUCCUGCAUUAAAAACCCAGCAUAUCCAACUCAUUAAUGUCAUCAUCUUUUUCAACGUGCAAUAAUUGAAUGGGGAAAAGUGCAGCUCAUAUCAAAAAGAGUAUGAGGACCUCGUGGCGGUGAAGGUCUAGGCCUUCCAAGUGAAGCAAUGUUACAAUUUGCUCUUCUUCCAUCAAUUACAGGGUUCGGAUCAACACAAGCCCUCCGAGCUGAUUCAGGGUCACGGAAAGUAACCUACAAAAAUGCAGUAACAAUAUUUUUCAAACACCUUAAAGCACAAGAAACUUAGCCAUUAAGGAAACGGGCAUAUAAGAACAAAUUGGAAAAACUUACAAAGCCAUAUCCUUUGGAUUUCCCUGUGUUUUUAUCAGUGAUGAUUACAGCUUCGAGAAUCUCUCCAAACUGCUCAAAAUAGCUCCGCAUUUCCUCUGUUGGUGUCUCCCAAGCUAGUCCCCCAACGAACACUUUUGUAAAGGUUGUGUCACCAAAAGGUGAUCGGUAAUGUGGGUAAGCCAUGGCAUCUAAACAAACAAAAUGUCAAACGGAUAACUUUCCUUUUGCAUGAACUCUUUGGGUUGUAUCACAUUUACAGUUGACAAGAAUGGAGAAAGCUGAAUCUUCUGUUCCACCUCAUUCCCUUUGCUUGUUGCUCUCUUACCGUGCUUGUCCCUAUAUCCAUUCCCGGCCCCUUUUUUACCACAUAAGAAUCAUUGAAGAGGGACAGAGAAUGAGAUGAAGCCUAGUUUAUGAUAUUAUAGAAGUUGUUGCUGUUGUUAUUAUUUGAUGGGUUGGUUAAUAAAAGAGAAAGCCAGAAAGGGGAAAAGAAAAAAGUAGUAGUUUAAAGAGAGAGAGAGAGAGAGAGAGUAACCCGACAGCUGCAAACGCUAAUUUGCUGUCCAUUGAGAUAUUGAGAGAGGGAAGUGAGGGGGUUGGCUUUGUAAUAUCGAAUGACAGCUGCGUGACUAAACGCACUUGACCCUGUCUCUCCUGUCUCUGCAUUAAUAUACUCUCCCAACCCCCCAAUCAAUAGUCCUUAGUUGUGUUUUGUGGUUUCUUCUGUAUGUUCUCUUUUGAGUCCUGCCUCAGAACAACUCUUUUUCAGCUUCCUAAAUCUUUAUCUAUGCAUGACAUGUAGUCUUAGUUGUUUGUUAUUUAUUGAUGCAAAAUUAAAAUUUGGUGGGGCCUUUCACUGUGGGGUAUAUCUGCAUGUUAACCAAAAUCAUCUGGCACAUAAUAAUACUAAUCUGAAUUUACAGAAAUAAAUUAUUAAAUGUGAUUGGUGUGUCUUGACCAAACCUAGAACAACAUUGGUGAUUACUCUUGGAGGAGCAAUAAAAAAUUUUUAAAAAAAACAACCUAUGCAAAUUAACAGUGAUUGCUGGCCUAAUAUAUAUUUUCUUUAAGCAAUAGUCUAAAGAGAACCUGACCUUGUCCACGCUGGUAGAGCAUUUAGAAAUCAACUAAUCAUCAUUUGAUAAGGACUUUAAUUUGACUUCCUAAUACACCCACUUCUUUCAUACAAAAAGAUCAAGAUUCCAAGUUCAUGUUUAAGCACUAAGAGUAUCCUUGAUAUAUAGAAAUUUAAUAAGCUUAAUUAGAGUUAGGGAUUGUGAAUUUCUUUCUCCAUUUUAAGCAUUAAAUUGUUGGUAAAAUGCAUAGAUAUAUCCUCGCAUAUUCCCACAUGAACCCAUGUUCCUAAGCCUCCUCUAAUCAUAAGCUGUUGUAUACAAAGCCAACCUCCAAACAACAAAAAGCAAAGAAUAUAACAGUUGGGAUCACAACAAAUAUUAGUCAGUGAGUGGUGAUCGAUAAUCAUGUGCAAACGAAGGGGUCAUGGGGCGGCUGCGUUGAAAACAAAAUCUCAAACCCAAUAAUAUAUAAUAGAAUUUUUUGCUAACCAUCUCAUCAGAUAUCAUUCCCCAUUUGGUCAAUCAUAAUAAACAAAGUUUGAUGCCAAGCAAAGUGUUUGGGAUUAGCAAUGUUUUUAUAUUGGUUAAUGGAUGACCAUUAUAUUGUCCACAACCCCCGCGAGGAGCACAAUGUCCUGCCUUCUAUCCUCGGGGAAAGGGCGGGCUUUCGGCUUUUGAAGGAUUCUUCCACAUUUCCCAAUUGGAAAUGCAUGUUUGUCAUAUCCCUUGUUGUAAAGCUAGCCUGGUUUUAAAGGACAACGGAGCUCUCUCUAAACAAAGCUUUUUGCUGAUGAGAAGAGAAGCGAGCGCACAGCACAGGCAAAGAAAGGAGGAUAAAAAAUAAAAGGGGUCAUUUACCUUAGCUUGUUGCCAGCGUUAGGGACGAGGGGACAGCUAUGGGAACCUCUAGUUUAUGAAAACUGUACAAGUCCGUGAACUGGCAGUUCUCUCCACGUGGGGUCGUAUCACUCUUUGAGAAAAAUGAGCUGGAUUUCAUCUACUUUCUUUCGCAACAAAGGAUAUAAUUUCUCUCUUUCUUUUUCUUUUUUUUUUUUUGAGUUUUAUAAUUUUCUUUCUUUUCAUGGGCGACCCACCCCACUGGGUCCAUCAACCAAGCCAAUCAAAAGGCUAUUUAAAGUUGCAGUCCUGCGCAUUUCUCAACCCAACGCCCAACACCCAGAUAUUGUUUUCAGAAAAAUAAAGCAUUUUUUCUCCAAUAUUCUUUCCUCAGAGUCUGCCAUUUAUGGUAGUCAUGCUUCAAUUCUCCCACCACCAAGAAGAUUGCCCCUUUUUUUGGGUAUAGCUUGUGAACCACUGUUCCAUUACCUGAUUCCAAAAAGCUGAUUUCCUUUCACUUUCUUUUUGAUAUCUUCGCACUUCUUGAAACUUGGAACUCCUAAAUCAUAAUUGCCUUGUGAAAAUCCUUUCAUCAAAUACUUUAGUUCAAUUCCCAAAGUACUUUUCUAAUCAAAUAUUCAAUACCUUAAAAGUUUUUCACCCCAUAAUAAGUCCAUACAUUCAUUAACCAAAAGAGGUGAGUCGGAAUACAUCUUGAUAAUAAUUGAGAUUCGCAUAUUAACUUCAAACGGAAUUAUGAAAGUAGUCGCAACGAGAUGAUUAAUUGCAAUUGGUCUUUAAAAAAAUCUUUGCUCUGUAUUAAAGCAACAACCUAGAUCCAUGGAAGGGAACCUAUGUCCGGAAAAAUCAAAAGCCUUGGUCAAAAUUAUUGACUUAUAGCUGAGCAGUCUUCAGACAUUGGGUGCAGGUCUACCCCCAUUUGGGUGCAAAAACACAUGGUGUUAUUUAUAGGGAGUAGGGGACAUGUCCAUCAUCUCACUCAAAAUAACUUGGCACAAAUUCGAUCAUGAACUACCCCAAUGUCUCCCAAUAAAUGGAAAAAAAAUAGAGGAUGACAAGAAAUUAACUUAAAACUUUAAGCUGCUUUAACUCUUGAUUAAAUGUUGUUAAUAAAUUUACAAUGUCCUGUCUGUGAGAUGGAAUGCAAUUAAGCUUGAAGGUGUAGCGUUCAAGACCUAUAUUUGAACACCCUAUAAGAAGGCAUUCAAAGACCCUAAACUGCCUACUCGUGUAAAUUAAUGGGCUUUGAAGAUUGGGGUGGCGCCACUCUUCAUGAUGCAGAAAACCUAGCAUUAGGCAUUCAGAACUAGAUCACCAAACUAUGGGUUUCAAAUUUAUAGUCUUUGUAUUCGAAUGUGAUACUCAUAUUUUGCUUGAAACGAGGGAAGGAAGGAGUCCACCAGGUCGAAUGCAUUUCCUGUUUUUCUUCUUAACUUCUUUUUUCUUUACACAUGGCUGAAGUCAGUUAACGUUGUUUUGUUGCAUAGCAAUACGCAGGCUGACGAAGAUUGAAAUGGUAGUCUCCUUUGCCGGAAGGAUGGGUGGCAAGUUGGCAACUAUGGGAAAUUGACUUGAUGAACUGAAUUUAUUGAGAAGCACGUAAUGUCCUACCAUGGGCCGGCAAUUUUAUGGACAUUACCUGCCCAAUAAUCCAAUGGGAAGCCAAAAUACCAAUCAGACUGAUUGACAAAAGAUAAUGAAAGAAAAAUAAAGGUAAUUGGCUGGAAAUAAUAAAUAAGUAAAUAUAUAUAUAUGAUGAACUUAGAGAUCUACCAUCUGCCAUCCUGAGCUGAGUAAAUAAAAAUUCUCUCACCCAUUCUCAUGAGUCGAAUUGUGGACCGAUGAGGUUGCCCAUCACCCAUCAAGGCUGCGAGCCAGCACUAUAUUUUGGGUGGCCUUAGAUGUCUAUGUUGUAACAUGUGGCCAAGUUUGGACCAAGCUGGGCAUUUGAAAGCUCUGCAAAGCUUGGAUUAUUAAUUAUAUUUAGAUUUUUAGUUUAUAGUUAUAAUAUUUUAGAUAUAAUGUUCAAAUAAGUUUAAAUUAUUUAAAAAUAUUCAUAUAUGUCCUUAUACUUUUGUUACAUCCAAUCAAGUUCUUAUACUUUUAUUUUAAAUCAAAUAAAUUUUUAUUAUUAAUUAUUAACUAAUUGUCAUUAAUAAAAAUAUCACUUAUCAUUUUAUAUCUACAUAGCAUUGAUACGGAAUUGAUGUGGAGGUGGAAAAAUAUUAUAUAAUCAUGUCAUCAUCAAUUAUGAUAUAUCAAAAAAUCACAUCAUAAUCAAUUAUAAUAUUUUAAUAUGCUACAUUAGCAUCACACGAUAUAAAUAACAAAAUGACAUUUUAACUAAGUCAAUCAUUAAUUAUAAGAGCUUAUUUGACUCAAAAUAAAAAAUAUAAAAAUUUAUUUGAUUCAAAAUAAAAGUAUAAGGGUUUGAUUAAAUACAAUAAAAGUAUAAAGACUUAUUUAACUUUUCUUAAAUUGUUUAGAAAUUUUUUUUGUAUAUUAUGCCAAUAUUUUAAAGAUUAUUUGGUGCUAAGAAUUCAAAUUUCAUGUUAAUUUAUAGAUUUAAAUAACAAGCUUGAGUUUCAAAAACUAGAUCCAGCUGUAUUUCUUUUUUCCUUCUUUGAAUUAAACCGAGCUGAGGUAAGCAUUAAUGUCAUUGAUUGAUAAUGUACCAUAGAAGUUUAAUCCAAUAAUAAAAGGUUGGCUUUAACGGUUUUAAUUUUCUCUUAUUACAAGCCAUAAGGUUAAGAUUUGAGAAUGCCCCUCCCUUUUUAAACUUUCCAUAUUGGUAUUUAUUUGCAUAGAUAAACACGUAAUAAUUAAUUAUUACGUUUGACGUCGUGUAAUACUUAAUUUUAUUUAUUUUUAAAAAAUUUUUAAAUAAUAAUUAUAUACUGAAUUAGAGAUGUAUUAUGUUUUUAUCUGUAGUAAAUAAUAAUUAUAUGUUGAACAUAAAGUUACAUAUUCUAUAAAUUACUGAAAUUAAUAUAAGUGUAUAUUUAAUUGAAAUUUUAUUAACACGUAAACUUUGUCUUAUGUGCAAAACAUAUAUUAUAGAUUAUAAAUACAGAAACUAAUUCACAUGGGCUAGAAACAACAAAAAGGAAAAACUGGUAUCUGGUACUAAACCUGCCUUAGGUUUAUGAAUAAGUUCUGAGUUGGAUCUCUGACCGGACACAGUAACUAUCAGCAGCCAAUGGGCUGCAAAAAUAUGGCCUUUUCUUAUUUACCAAAGUGUGGGCUUGUGGUCCAGAUUUAAAUAGGUUAAAGCAAUCUGAAAGAUACAUUGAAGGUUAUAUUAUGUCAAGGGGUGGUGGCGCAGUUGGCUAGCGCGUAGGUCUCAUAGCUUCUGAGUUAUCCUGAGGUCGAGAGUUCGAGCCUCUCUCACCCCAUGUUUUUCUCUUUUCUUUCCUUUAAAACUAAUACUGAUAACUACUACUCAUAAAAUCCUCUCACCCCGUAUAUUUCUUUUUUUCUCCCUUUUAAAACUAAUACUAAUAAAUCUUUUUUCUCUCUUUUAAAAUUUCUUUUUCUUUUUUUGCCCUUUUAAAACUAAAACUAAUACUAAUAAAAUCCAUUAGGAGUGGGUGUCUGUCAGUCAUAGGCAUGUGGGUCUGGGAAUUUUUCCUUUUAUGGUGACAGUACCAGACGCAACAUGACGAUCGUGGGAUGUUCACCUUUUUAACGUUAGCAACACCAACACAUAUGUAGUCAUUGUCCUCCCUCGUCAUGCUUACGCUAUUUUGCGUCACUCAUGCCAAUGGUCACCCUGGAUGCAAGGUUUCGACGCUUGUCGUUACUAUUAUAUUUCUGUAGCUGAAUCAGAAUCAGACAACAUGCAAUGCAAUGCAUUACGCACAGAUCAGCACUGUCAAGUUUGUGUCUCUGUCUAUAUCAAUGUCCAAACCUGGACUCAACUAAGUUGCCAUGUGAAUUCGAGUGAACUUCAUUUUUUUGUGUUCGUUUUGAUGAAAUGACUUCAAGCAAGGGAAAGGGAAAACCCAAGUUGAGGUACAUUAAUCCCAAGUUGACGUAUAUUAAUCAAGAGAAGAGUCCACGUUGGGAAAUGUCAUUACUCGUUACCUGCCGCAUUCUAUCUAAUGGUUCCUUGCCAAUUCAAAGGGUUGGGCUUUCUCUGUACUUGACACUUUAAGACCUCUGGCCCAUUUUGGAAUGGAUUACGCAUAUGCUUUCUUUUUGGAUUCAUUUUCACUUUUUGAAGUUUAGCUUACAAAGAUUUUCUUUUACUUUUUUACUGUCGCAUAAUGUUUUUCUAUUUUUUAUUUUCAAAUUCUUUUUUAAAAAGGUAGUUAAAAUAAUAGGAGAAGUCAAUACUUAGUAUGUAAAAAUUAAGUGAAUUGUAACUUUAAAAUUAUUUUUUUAAAAAAAUCAUAUUGACGGUUCAAUAUUUAGAUAAUUAUUUCUUAUUAAUUUGAUGAAUCAAUAGGCGUGUUUUUCAAGUCAAUUACACUAACUAUCCAAUUAAUAACUAAUCCGGGGAGUCACCAAGUCCGAUCACCGAAUGGGUUCGGAUAACUAUGAUCCUUAAUAUGUUGUUCAUUCCAAUGAAAAACUGUAUGCCUAUGGCUAUUCCUAGACUUGCUGCGACAUGGCUGAACAAUUUCCAAUUUAUAAACUAUAAACCACCUUGGAUUUUAACAGAGAACAAACACUAGGGAUAAGUUCAAUUACUUUGCGAACAGUUAACCCUGUUAAUCACUCCGCUGUCACGGUUAUCUAGCUUAGUUUGAGCACUUUGGCAGUGCCUUACCUACUUGCACUUCCCCUGAAUCCUGGGGUCCAUGGAUAUUAUUGGGACCUUUGGGAAUCAGAACAUGUAAAAUGAUCUAGAAUAAAGGGGUCAUCUGCUUUUACAUGUCCUGGCCUUGUAAUCUUGGAUGAUGCGUGGAAUAAAGUUGCCAUUUGCACUUUCUUGCCUCCCAUAUCUGAUCUUCGCAGAUGUAUGGAGAGCUGAACAAAGUUGAGGAUGCUGUCUUUUUAUACUAUCACCAAUCGUCCUUGCAGUCCAGAAUAACGAAAGGCUGGGACCUGAAGAAUUGAGGGAGGUACAUGCAUUUAUUCUUCAAAAAAUUCAUUACCAGAUCCCAAAGCUAGUGGUCCUCCCUUCUUCCAUUUAUUUUCUUUAUUUUUAAUUGUUUUUACUUUCCCAAACCUAUUGAUGACGUUAGAGGUGGUUGUUGCAUAUUUAAUAUGAUUCGUUGCUGUUGGUCAUGAUUCUCAGCCACCUCAAUGCCUAUGCCUAUUCUCUUAAUAAGACAACAGUUUUUUACGGAGCAUUUCCAAGCCUUGUACAAUCCCGAUCCGAUUAGAGAUUUAUUUGUGUGGCCAAAUCUCGGCUACUUGAAUUAAUGAUCUCGUUACCAUUCAAUAUUUCAAUUUGCAUGGGAUAUAGAAGAAGUCAUUCCGAAAAUUGUUGGCUCUUUGGGUUUGAAGGACAGAGACUUUGUCUUGGACAAGGUAUAAAAUUGAAAGCUUUGGCAAGUUGUUGUUGGUCCUCUAAAAAAAUUGGAAAUGUCAUAAUCAUGGUAAGCCAAAAGCUUAAGUGGGGUUGGUUGAAUAGAUACAUCCACCAGGUUAACUUAAAUCCAAAAGAAGUUUCUGGAAUCGAUCUAUUUUGUUUCUUCUGCUCCUUGUGUGACAUUCAAAUGGUAAUUCUUUAAUAUUCGAGUAAUUGAUAUGGCUAUUGCUUAGUAGUAUCAUUUUUCUCGACUGCGUACCAUAUAUAUAAAAAAGAGUAGGAAUUAUUCCUUUCCAUUUCUGGGCUCAGUCCCCACAGAAUGAAUGCUUCAACAUUUCAUUCAGGAAUUUUCAAUCAGGCUUCAGUGCAAGGAAAACUACUUACCUUGGGAAGUGGGAACAUAUCUUAUCUUCCUAACCAUCCUAUGUGGCUAUGUCUCUGGUUCAAAACCAUUAUCCAAUUUAAUGCUUUUAGCCUCAACGAGAGCCUAGACUGACAAUUGAGGACUGAAAGGUGAGAGCUUAAUUAUUUCAUUUAAGCAAAUUAAAAUACUCAAACUUUCUUCCCUCACAGUUGAUUUUUUACCAUAUCUUGAAGUUCUUCAUCUGAGUUUUUUCAUCGUGCUAAUUCCCUUAUGCCCCUUCGACAUGACAGUAACAAAUUGUAAGUCAGGCAUUAAUUUGCCCGUCCCAUAUUUUUUUUUUCAUGAAGUGGCAAAUCAGUGAGUAAACUAGGUACAGACUCUGGAGAAGGGGCUACUUGAAUCAUAUGGUGCCCCAUGCAGAAUUCAUGACUCUGCUUUCAUUGAGAACUCGCAGGCCAUCCCAUCAUUUCAAAGAUAUCCGUAUGGGGUGCUUGCCCGCCUGCUUGCUUACUUCACUGCCUCGAAUUAUACAGCUCUCGGUUCCAUGUUUACACCAAUCUGUGAACUGCUGAAGCUUGAAUGUGAAUAUACAUUACCCACGAGGUGAACUGAUUUUGGUAAAUCAGCCUGGCAGUAAAAAUUGUUUAUUCCUUCUCGACUAAGUUGCUUAUGUUUUGAUCCCAAAUCAUUACAGAUCAUUAACAUUUUUCUCAUUCCUGGUGCUAAAUUUUAGUCCAUUUGGAAACGGCGUUUUGUUGGAUACUUUGAUUCUGCAGGGUCUUUAGUGGUGUCAGGGGACCUAUGAAAGCAGCUGAUAUGGAGAACUCAUGCAAAUUUUUAUGAUUAUUGCUACAAGGAGUGGAAUGAGGCAGGGAAAAUUAAUUAUGACUUUCGCCUAAUCAACAAAGUUGGAAAUAGGAGCGCCCCACAUUUUUAAACACAUCACAUGUAGUGGGGAAUUGUUGAGGUUUAUAUAAUCAGAUAGGUCGGUGGGCCUAAGCUUGCAAAUAAUGGCCUCCAAUUCUCGCAAUUAUUAUUCCAUUGGAUUGAGACAUUUUACAUCUUAUUUUAGCAGACUUUACAGUGGAUGAUGAGUUUUUCGUUAUCAUCCUUGAUUUGAUGUGGCAGAAAAUGAAUAAUGCCCUUGGUCAUCCGCCUAAUAAUGGCCAAUUUUCCACUAAGUUUUGUGGAGUGUGGGCUCCCAUUCCCAUAUCAUCUAAUUUGUCCAUGCUAGGUGCCGGAUUCUAUCAAGAUUAAUAGAAACUAUGGGUUAUCAGGCUAUUAUGCCGUUCAGAAGAGAACUCAAUGAGCCUAACUAAAUUUGUCUUAUUAAUGAGCAGUUACAGUCACUUCCAAUACUGCAUGUAUAUCAAUUAAAGUAUCAGUUUCAGAUGUGGAUACAUGUUUAUCAUAUAUAAUCUUGUCAUUUUUUAAAAGAUAAUGCUUUCUUCUGUUUAACAUUUGUUGGCAUUCAUUGGAUUUUCCAUUAUCUUUAAAAAAAAAAAAAAGCUACCAAAACCUUAAAUUGUCAAUCAUUUUGAUGCUUCCCCCCCCCCCCCCCCCCCCCCCAUCAAAUGAUAUGAUGUCUGCUGUUAAAGUCACUAAACAUGCAUGGCACGCUCGAAUGAGCCUUGUUUAAGUCUUAAGUCACUCUAAUUUCUAACGGAAAGUUGUCUGGUGACAGAACCAUGUGGCUGCACCAGCCCAUUCAACAGCCCAAAGCGGCUCGUGCUGUGUCCCUUCCAUAUCACAGCACCUGGGUCCAGCCCAUCUUCCUUUUGUCAGUCAUGCUGGCAACAUGUACUUCUUUUAAAUUAAUUCCUCGUUGAUUUUUUAUAAUUAAUAUUACUAAUAGUUAAAUUGAAUAUAGGAAUGCAAACAAGUUUAUUAUAGCAGUAUUCACUACACUAAAACCUAAAAAAGGAAAACGGAAAAAAGGACCUGAAAUGAAUAAAAACACCAAUGCCGAUGGAUUCAACAUUUCUAGCUACAGGCACAAAACAUGUGAUUUCUUGCCACCGACGCACACUACAUUUUUCAUUGAUGGCUGGCUGCCCUUCCAUCAAUGAUGGGUCUGCAUAUACCACCUUCAAUCCCCAAGUGCUAUACACACGUAUUUUUCUCUUGAAAAAGAGUAUGUCCACUGUCGGCGUAUAAAUACAAAACUUUGGAAACUAUAAGAUAGUGUUUUGAUAUUUUCUUUUCCUUUUUUUUUUAAUUUUCACUUCAGAUAAUUUAAUAAUGCUGGUGGGUCAUGAGUAGGCAACAUCAGGUGUUGAAAGUAUGGAAGUUGCGGCCCAUUCAUUGUUCUUGGUUAUAUUGUAAAUUUGGAGGUUCCCUUCGUAAAAUUUUUCUUUUUAAGUCUCAAAAAUUACGUUGCUGCUGGUCUAGUGCAAACGCAUCGUUACUGCUAAGCCAGUUGCUGCUGGUCUAGUACUAUAAGUGUCCAAAGAGUCUCCUUAGCGGAGAGGAUUAUUAUUAUAUCAAUUAACCUAAUAAUUAAAACUAAAACUUGAUUCGAUAUGUCCCUAAAAACGCGUCAGCAUCAUUUUUUCUUUAUGAUUCUCAAUUAAUAAAAGUAUAAAGCCAAUAAAAAAAAGGAAAAUUUAUUUAUUUAUACACUUUAUAAGAUUUAUGCGUGUAAAGGCUUUGAAUUUGUGUCCGUAGACUUCGAAAAAAUUGCUGGCAAUUGGAGAACGGAUCCUGCAGGGACCACGGUGGUCCUGCUUCCAUCUGAUUAUUUCACCGACGCAGACUAUUCACGUAAUUUAGGCUGCAAUUACGGGGAAAGCAUAAGGUUAUAGGGUCAAAAUAAUUAAUGGGUUUGGUAUUUAAUGGGAGUAGGAUCACCGACGUCGUUUUCAUGUGAAACGUAUUUGACUUUACUGCGACCUUUAUGUAGAUGAGCCUACCUUAUAGAUCCAUCCUGAAUUGGGGACUGUAUUUUAUUGGGCGUAAUGCUCAAAUUAAUCAAAAACGGAAGUCAAAGGGAGGAUCAAGAUCCACUUAGGAAAUGUGUAGUGGAAUGUGAUCUUAUCUUUGAAUUUGUGUACCAAUAUAUAAUAAACCUGCUUGCUUUAAACUAUAGCUAAGUAUGAAUACCACAUCAGGUAAAAAAGAAAUAGUGACCAUUGAUGAAUUAAUUUUACUUUGUAAAAGAUUCAAUAAUCGAGUCGUGAUAUUUUUUUGAAAAAAAAAGUGAUUUAUUCAUUAUUUUAUAAUUAAAAAUAUAUAAAAAAAAGAACAAUAAGUACUAGAAUGAAGCAAGAGAAUACAAAGAUGAUGAUCACAAAGUUUUCCCCGUAGAAACAAAAAGAAAAUGCAGGCAGAGGAGCAAAGCAAACCCCACCAAGGCAGCUUUAAUAAGCUUCGAACAGUCAAAACGUAUAUCAUAUGCGAUAGGAAAUUAAUUCCAUCACAUUACAUUAGCACAUUGUCAGGCUGAAAAUUUCCGUACGGAGGUAAGUCUGAAAGCACGAUACUCUCUUCUUCUUUUUUUUUUUUUUAAUUUGCUAGUGGACCCCUUCGACUGUGAGAUCGUGGUUCAGAAACGUGGGGCAUCUUGGGUUGAGACUUAACAAGACUGUUUUUUUUUUAUUUAAAGAAUAGUUUCAUUCAAAAUUUUUGAACAAAAAAUAUAUGUAUUUAUUACUGAACUAAUGUUUUAAGGUGAUUUAAGAUUGUUUUUGAUUUGUCUUAAUUUUCUUCAUGGUCAAGGAUUUGAGUAGUCAUGAACCCCUGAAACAAGCAGAAAGUCUUUCAAAGUCUCUCAUAAUAAGUGUGGCUGAGACCUAAUUAUCAAAAAAAAAAAAAAGAAAAUUGGAUGAGACCUAGAUAGUCGUGGGAUUCAAAGCCACAUUGAAAUAUGGAAAUAAAAAGGCAUCCACUCAAGUGUAUUUCACUCUUGAAAUUGGCUAAGAUGUAUCAACCUUGAAGAACAAGUUUUGGUGGAGAGUCACCACAUUAUACCGGUGAUAUUUCAUUAUCAAAUUGACAUUACUUUAAAAAAAAAAUCAUCAAAUGAGAUAGAAAAAGAGGAAAAAAAGCAAGAGGAAAAGACAUCCUUCGCUAACCACUACAACAUAGAAAUAGUCCAUUCAUUGUCCACAUAAUUUUUAUUCAAAAGGAGCAGCGAUGUGAUAAACAUAGGUUGAUUUGAUUUGUGAUAAAAACAUAUCAACCACUAAAGAGAAUUGGAUCCUAUUUUAGUAGAAUUCUAAUUAAUGAACUCCAUUAAUUUGAGCAGUGUGAUGGGAUAUUGCUGUAAAAAAAAAAAAAAGUUAAGUCAUCUUCAAUAUUAUAAAGUAAACACCACGACAAUCAAGGAAUCUUUGAUUCCCUCUCUUGUACACAUAAGGAAGGACAAUUUUGUUUUUUUGGAAAAAAAAAAGAAUAGAAUGAAUGAGCAGUCCGAAUAGGUAUUAAAGUCGUGGAUUGGAACCUUGUCGGUUGAAACUUCCUACUUACAAACAAAAACCACAUAACACUAUCGUAUGUAUGUAGAUCGAGUGGUUUUCCCUCAGGCCUCAUCCAACCAAAAAGUUUUAACGUCGACGCUUGAAAACUACUUGGGGUCGGGUUCACAAUCUAUUCUCGCCGAGAGCCAAGACACCUAGCUAACAGCUAAACUCAAUCACAUCAAAUUCAAAGCUUUAGUUUUCAUUUGAAGUAGGUUCCACCACUUCUCUACUACCCCUCUUCUCACCAUCACCUUCACCAAUAGAAAAACAAGCGUUUAAUUUCCAAAACCAUUUUUAUACGUACUCAUGCAUUCACUUCUCCUUUGUACAUCAAUCUUUCAAGGAAAAAAUAAUAAAUUCUUUUUGAGUCUUCUAAUCAUUCGUUGGUCAUGCGUAGGUAUUCGGCUGAGGGCUCCCAAGACAUAUUCGCAUGAUCUUCCAUAGAGUACUAGGGAGAGCUCACGGAUGAGGAGCAAUUUUUUUUUUAUUAAAUGAACAAAUCUAGAUUUCUUUAAAUUCAAGGAAUAUUGUGCACAACCUAACAAAUCUCAUCAAAAUAAAGAAUGCCAUUAAAAAAAAAGGAAUUUUGAGAUUGUGAAUUCAAGGUUAAAAAAUUAUAAUAAGAUGGUUGUAAGAUAAAAAAGGAUUAACCUUCUUCUUCUAGGUAGAUUUUUUUUUAAAUCAAUAUCGAGUAUUUUUUAUAUCAACAUUGAUAAAUUUAAUUUUUUUAUUAAUAUGAUAAAAUUAUUAUUAUUAAGUUGUGAACUCAUUAAGAUUGGUAUGGUAAUUUUGUUAAUGACGUAUGAUAUUACUGAUGUGAAAAAUUAAUGUGGUGGGAAGGGUUAUAAUUUUUUCCAAAAUAAAAUAAGAGAGAAGAAAAAGGAAAAAUCUACUAAUGUAGGGCGUUAGUAGUGCAAAAAAGUAUAGAAUAAUCUAAUCCGUUAACACGUAGGGCCCAAGAAAUGACCCAUUUUUGCUGCCACGUCUCCAAAACCAAGGGCGCCAUUACCCGUACCAAUCCAAACAGACUCAAACAAAAAAAUCCUCGUGACAAAUUCACCUGAGUCUCAUUGUUCUUUUGAAUUUUUUUAAUGGAUAAUUUUGUAAACUGAAUCCCGUGAAUCUCAUCCGAAUUCCAAUUUUUCCAAUUUCCGUGUUUACGCCAUUACCGCACUAACAAACAAAGCAAACAACUCACGAAUCUAUCAAACAAAAAACCAUAAACAACAGCUCUGAUCCUCUGCAUCGCAUUAAACCACAGCCGGCGCCUCCAUAACUGACACGUCAUUAUUUUUAUCUCACCGACAGAGGAACGCGGCAGAUCCGGGCCCCACAAUUGGUUCUCCGUUCCCUUUUUUUUUUCAGAAAAAGAAAAUUUAAUUGCUCAAAAUCAACUCUCAUUGCAUGUGACUCUUCUUGUUGCUUUUUUUUUUUAUUAUUAUUACAACUAGAAAUUCUCCAAAGUUCAAAUUAAAUGGUAAAUCCAAAUACUAGGUCCUAUGAUUUUUGUUGAUUUUAAUAUUCAUUUGUAUUGAACCAAUUUUCAUGAAUUUUUAUCUUGAUCCAAUGCAUCUCUUCACCCAUCACAUUAUCCGACGUGAGUAGAUAAUAAAAACAAAAUGUACAUUAUUGAUUUAGAACCAGACAUGGUUCAACAAUAAGUACCUGGUAAUAAAGUUUCGCUAAUUAUAUCCGUUAAGAUAUUAUCUUAUGUUAUAGGAAUGAUACUCACAUUAAAUGCGGUUAAUUAACAUUAAUUGAAUGAUUUCAAUUCAUUAAACCAGUAGAUUUACUCACAAGUAUUGUAAGAUUUGAAGUGAAUAUCAUCCUAAUAUAAUAUAGUAUUAUGAUAAUUACUCCUUUAACUUAUCCAUUUAGGUGAAAAUUUUUUAGAAGAAAAUAGAAUUGUUUUCCCCAACAGUAACGAGAUUCCCUUCUGCCUUUCAGAUUCACUCGGCAAACAUCAUCAAAUUUUCCUGCCCUGCCUGUCUGUCAGAGCGGGGUUCAGCCUCUCACACGUUUUCCUUUCUUUUAUUUUCUUUGCGAUAAAUCAUUUACCUUAAAAAAGAAAAAUUAAAAAAUAAUCAGUGCUGGCUGCCUGGUGUGGUGGCUGUCUUUUUGCAGCUUGGAACCUUGUCUAAAGGCAAAGGCAUUCUGUUAGAGGAGGUGACUUUAGAAACUGGAAAUGAUUACCCUCAGUAAUUAUCGGUUGGAAAAUCUGUCUUAAGAUUUUCUACCCUUUUUGAAACCCCUAAGGUAAAAAACACUUCAAAUCAUUUCAGCAAGACAGCAACUGCACGAUGUAUCAUUAGACAGAGAAAAAAGAUUAGCAAAAAAAAAAAAAGAGUUGUGUUUCGAUUGCAGACAAAGAAAGGUGAAAUGAAAUGAAAUCUUGUAGCUGAAUUUAGUUCUUUUUCUUCCCCCUAGCAUUUUCUGAUAGUUAUGGUGUCCUCCAUAUUUGGCAUUUUUGGGAGGUGAAAUGACAUGAAAUGUUGAAUUACUAGGGAAACGCCGUGCAGAAAAUGGAAAGUUUGGUAUGGUUCAUUUCAUAUCGACUAAUGCUCUCUACUGCGGUGUGUGUGUUUGACAAUAAAUGAAGCAGUGGAGCCACUCUAGAGAGUGCUCAAAUGGAAGGAAUGCGCGAAAUUUGAGUCAUGAAAAAUAUAAAUAAUUGAGGGAGGUUGUCACUGUCCAGCGUUCUCAGCACGAGUCAAAACAUGAUGUUAUGAUAAACAAAGCAUGUCCUUUUUAGGUUUACACCGCCCAUUUCUUCUCAGAUCUACGUACACACCCAAGUUCUUAUACGUCGACUGUCGGUUUUAUUACAUCCUUGGAUCCAAAAUUUCCAUUAUUUACGCAUAAAUAAUUUUGAGGAGGGGUUUUGCCUCCACGCAUAACAGUAAUUUCAGUAGUAAAAUUUGAUCUUCACCACGCUAAAUUGGGUUUCGAGGGAGAGUCUUUCGUAGGGAACUGCGUUCAUUUCUUUUUCCCACUGGUCUCCGUAGCUAAUCUCUCUCUCUCUCUCUCUCUCUUAAAUAAUUAAAUACGAAAUUAAUGUGAUUAGAGAUUUGAUUAAUAUAGUAGUAAUAUAAAAUUAUUGUAAUUAACAGUUGGGCUCGAACUGUAGUGGUGGCGCUUUAGCGCGUAUAUUAGUAGAGAGAGCACUGUCUGAAGAUAAAAGCUUGGAGGAGAGUUCAAAAAAAUUGUCUAUAUUCAUUUAUGACGAGUUUUGCGUUGAGUUAAUUCAUACCAUCUCAAAAUUUUUUUCUUUGAAUAAUUAUUAUGAUUAUAUAGAAAGAGAGAAAGUAUUUUUUCAGCUUUUCACGAGCUCUGUCGUGAUUGGAUCGAUACAGAAACCGCCUACACUCUUACAGCAUCAAAGGGAGCUCGCAAUAAAGAAGACAACAAGAACCAAAACAGUCUUCUUCUGUAGUUUUAAAUAAAAGGAAAAUCUUCUUAAAUCCUCAUUUGAUGAAAUUUCGCUGAUUUCAAGCCUGGUUUUCCGCUAUCUUUCAAUUUCCAGUUCUGCUCUUAGAAACAAGGUACUGUUUUUGUGUGUUUCUCCUAGCUGUUUUUGAAUUUGUUAGAUUUGAUCAGAUUUCGAUUUUCAAAUGAUUGAUCGGAGAUGGACUUUUGCUCAUUUUAAUCUGGGUUUUCUUUAGAUUUUAGCAUUGGGUAGCAGAGAUAAGUGAAUUUCAAUGAAAAAGAAGUGAUUUUGAAUGGAAAUGAGCUUACCCUUUAUUUCUUUCAGGUGGCGGAACUCACUGGAAGUUUGUUAUAUGGAAAUGUAUCUACUUUACUUUCCUUUAUUUCCUUCGAAUCUUGAAUUUCCUUUCUUUUAUUUUUUUUCCUUUUGUUUCAGUCUUAGAAUCGUUCAAAAAAGCCAUUUCUUCUUCUCCUUCUUCCUUUCACUGUUUAAAAUUUGCUUUUUUAAGAGUUUCACUUUCAGCAGGGUUAAUGGAUCUAGUAUCUUGAAAUUGGGAAAAGAUCUCAUUUUGAUUUUAUUUCAGUGCAGAGUUUCAUUGCUUAGUUCACGAUUGUCUGUAUUACGUUUUUGAGAAGAGUAUUACCGGGUUAGCUUGUUCGAGAGUGAUUUGAGUGGGAUUUUUUUCUUUCGUUCAACUUUGACAACUUCACUGAGUUGUUUCUAGAAAGUUGCCUUUUUUUUUUCCUCUGGCUAACUGUUGGGGAUUUCAGGUAGGAAAAAUGUCCAGGCCUCUGCAUCGAGGUGUAUCUGGAAUACGGAUCUCAGGCAACAGCAAUGAUUUUUGGGACUCCCAAGUGAAAGCUAAAACAGAAAAGGAUGAUUUGGAUAGAAAUCGUUCCCCUGAUCAGAGCUAUUUAUCUCUCAGGUUUCCUUUUCGGCUACUUUUUCCGGAUAGUUCUCCUCUCAAACAUGGUGUCACUGAGAAUGGUUUUGCAUCUGAUCCCUUCAGUGUUGGAACGCCGAGAAGCCGACAUAAGUUAACAAUGCUAUUUUUGAAGUUAAGUUUAAUUGUGAUUGUGAUUCUUGCUCUCACUGGAUCAUUUUGGUGGACAAUCUCCAUUUCAACAUCAUCCAGAGGUCAUAUAUUUCAUGGUUAUAGGCGACUUCAAGAGCAGCUUGUUUCUGAUUUGUGGGAUAUAGGGGAGCUUUCACUUGGUCCUUCAAGGUUGAAAGAAAUAGAAUUCUGCCCUGAGGAGUCUGAGAAUUUUAUUCCUUGCUUUAACGUUUCAGAAAAUCUUGCUUUGGGUUAUUCUGACGGUAAUGAGUAUGAUCGAUUGUGUGGACAUGGUUCAAGGCAAAGGUGUUUAGUUCUUCCACCUGUGAACUAUAAAAUUCCUCUUAGGUGGCCAACUGGGGGAGAUGUCAUUUGGGUUGCAAAUGUUAAAAUUACUGGUCAAGAGGUAUUUUCCUCUGGCAGUUUAACCAAGAGGUGAGUGAAUGUUUCUCUUGACAGUCAACAUCAUAUCUAACUGCCUUCAUCCCCCAUCCCUUUCCCUGUUUCUUUUUUCUUAUAGAAGUGUUUCUUCAAUCCCUUGAUUUAUGCAAUUGCAGGAUGAUGAUGCUGGAGGAAGAGCAGAUUUCUUUCCGUUCAGCAUUGCUAAUGUUUGAUGGUGUGGAAGACUAUUCCCAUCAAAUUGCAGAAAUGAUUGGACUGAGAAAUGAAUCUAACUUCAUACAAGCUGGGGUAAGUGGGUGUUUUCCUUGGCAUACACGUUGAGCUUGUACUGUUCCUUUAUUUAUAUAUAUAUAUAUAUAUAUAUAUAUAUAUAUAUAUUUUUUUUUUUUCCUUUGUCUAUUUAAUUCUAGUAGGGUUAUUUCUGUUUAGCUUCGAGGUUGGUAUAUAUUUUAAAGUUAUCAUUUCUUGCUUGACAGUAUGGCAAAUUGUUAGGGAUUACAUUUAAUUGCCACCUUUGGCUUCCACAUUGUAAAUUUGGCAAUAUGGGCCUGAAUUAGCUUAAAGCCGUCUUAGUAGCUAAUUCCAACAAGACUGGAAUUCUGUAGCCCCAUCAUUUCAUUAGUUUCUUUUGCAUUAUCAAUAACAAUUGACGUUUCUAGUCUACCUGCCUGGUCUGAAUUUAAGGCUACUGUUGCAGGUCAGAACCAUCUUGGACAUAGGAUGUGGUUAUGGUAGCUUUGGAGCACAUCUCUUUUUCAAACAGCUUUUAACCAUGUGCAUUGCCAACUAUGAGUCCUCAGGCAGUCAAGUUCAACUCACUCUCGAAAGGGGCCUUCCUGCAAUGAUUGGCUCUUUCAAUUCAAAACAAUUACCAUAUCCAUCUCUUUCAUUUGAUAUGCUGCAUUGUGCACGCUGCGGUAUUGACUGGGACCAAAAAGGUAUCAGCUAACAGUUUGAAACUUUGCUAGUUUAAAAAUUUGCUGCUUCUUUCCCUAUCUUUUCAUCCCCCUCCCCCUACCCUGGUAUGGUAUAAUUUUCUUAAGUUAAUAGAGGCAAUCCGUGUUGGGACAUAUACGUAGGCCUAGAAUCAUUUUUUAUUUUCAGUAGUAAAGGACAUAAUUUUUUUUGAAUGUUCUGUAAAUAUAAUUGCUAGCCAAAGGUCUUGUUUGAGUGCUUUUUGAUGCAUUUGUUGGCAGUUCACACCUGCCAACCAAUGUAUAAUUUAACAGAAUACAUGAAAAUCAUGGUCAACUUCAUUUUAUCUGUUUAAAGUUCAACAAAUUGGCCACACUCCGAACUCUACUUUGCUAUUGUAAUUUUUAAUCAUGUUUUUACUCCUAUACAUGACUUGUAUCAAUUUUUUUGUGUUUGAGCUGGUAGUAAUUAAACUAUUAUUUUAAAAUGUGUGCUACAGAUGGUAUUUACUUAAUUGAAGUUGAUAGAGUUCUAAAGCCUGGUGGAUACUUUGUGUGGACUUCACCUCUUACCAAUGUUCAGAGUUUUCUUCGUAACAAGGAGAAGCAGAAAAGGUGGAAUUUUGUUAGUAAUUUUGCAGAAAGUCUCUGUUGGGAGUUGAUGUCACAACAAGAUGAAACUGUUGUGUGGAAAAAGACCAUUAAAAAAAGUUGUUACAACUCCCGGUGAGGCAAUUUUCUUACUUGAUUUACAAUUCAUUUUCUUCAAAACUAUAUGAACCAUUGGAAAUCUUUAUUAUCUGAGAUCAAUAGGUGGUCCUGAUUACUGGUAUCAAUCAUUUAUGUGUCCAGGAAGCCUGGUUUUGGUCCGUCAAUCUGCAGCAAAGGACAAGAUGUUGAAUCUCCAUAUUAUCGACCUCUUCAAAACUGUAUUGGUGGAAUGCAUAGCCGCCGAUGGCUUCCUAUUGAAGAGAGGACAACCUGGCCUUCUAGGUCUAAUUUGAACAAGAAUGAACUAGCUUUAUAUGGUAAUAUGAUGUUCUUUGCAUGCUUAUGUUAGAAGUAACAAUUUCAUCAUGAUAAGCAACAAUGAGCAGAAAUUUUUUACUGUCACUCCUGAUGUAUCUGUUGGCUAAUACUUUUAGUAUUUUAUCAGGUCUACACUCUGAAGAACUCAAUGAGGAUAAUGCGAACUGUAAAACAACUGUUCGUAAUUAUUGGUCUCUUCUAUCACCCCUAAUAUUCUCAGAUCAUCCUAAGAGACCUGGUGAUGAAGAUCCUUCUCCACCUUAUAACAUGCUCAGGAAUGUGCUAGACAUGAAUGCUCGCUAUGGUGGUUUCAAUGCUGCAUUGCUGGAAGCAGGGAAGUCUGUCUGGGUCAUGAAUGUAGUCCCAACAAGCGGACCCAACUACCUUCCCCUGAUUCUUGACAGGGGCUAUGUUGGUGUAUUACAUGAUUGGUGAUUCUCUUCUCUAGCUAAUUUUCCUUUUCUUUUUGGGCUGUGUUGUUUUAAUAUCUUCCUUAUAUGCAAUUCAUUAUAGCUGAAGCUGGAAUGACCCCUUCUUAUAGUAAUUCCUAUGUUGCCAAACUGUAAUGAUAUUCAGCAACUUAAUAUACUUUGGUAAUAUCUUUUCUCUCUGGAGUAAAAAAAAAUUACAUGCAGUGAGGAGAACCUGCAUAUGAUUGUAAGACUUAACCUGAAGCAAAUUCUGCUAUAGGAUGUAUGUUCUGUUAAAAGUUUGAUGUGUUUACUGAAACUUGGAUUGUUGUUACUGAGUUCGAAGUUAGGACACCAUAUUAUUUGAUUAGGUUCAAAGUUAAUUAACCAUGCUUAAAAUGUGAUAUGCUUGGCAUAAUGCUUUUCUGAGCAACGUAUACCUUUCCUUUAUAGUUUAAUGUUUCUUGUUUUAUUUGUCUUAUGAUCCAUCCUUUUCACUUUCAGGUGUGAAGCAUUUCCAACAUAUCCUAGAACUUACGAUAUGGUGCAUGCAGAAGGACUUCUAUCCCUUGAGACUAGUCAAAAUCGGAGGUGCACCAUGCUUGAUCUAUUCACUGAGAUAGACCGGUUGCUUCGUCCAGAGGUACUAAAACUAGGCUAUCAAAUCAGGCUAGCUUUUAGUUCCUUUCAUGCUUACCUUCUACUGUUUCUCUAUUCCUGAAAUGACAUAAAAUUAGCCAUAGCUGGAUAAAAUUUAAUGCUUAAUGUGGUAUUACUCGCCAAUUGUUUUUCUUGUCGUUAUAAGUAAGUGAUAAUUAACGUACACAAAUACACACGGGAAAGGAGAAGAGAAGUAAAACGCUUUUUCACUUGGUUGGUGCUCCCUAACUUUAGUUUGAUAUUAGAACUUUUGUUGCUAUAUUUGUGGCUUUGACGUUAUUUUUCACUUGUAAAUGUGAAUGUCUGUAAGAACAUUUGUGUAUGUGAAAAAUUUAGGGAUCACAUGACUAGAAGAAAGCUUCUAUCAGUACCACUCAAAAUAGUAAUGUAUUAAGUCAUGUGACAAAGCCAAAAGGUUUAACAGUCUCAUAUUACUUCUGUAUCAUGUGCUGAUCUUUAAUUGAUUAUACUGCUUAAGCAAAUCUCAGGAUUUGGUUGGGAAUCGUGAUGCAUGCUGGUCUUAUAUUAUCAAAAACUAGUUUAGGAGAGAUCUUCAGAACGUGAGUUGUACUAUACAAAUAGUUUUGCAUAUGUUUUUAACGUAAAUGUCAAUUAGUAUUAUGCUAGUAGUGAAUCUCCUUUGUGUCAUCAAAAGAGUGCUACAGAGCAAAUUAGUUUACUUAAAUUCUAUCAAAUAUGAGUAGACCUUUUGCAAAUGGUUCCAAUGGUUUUGUUUUCUACUGCUAUGCUUUAAUAUGUUACAUUUGAUGGUUGGUGCAGGGUUGGGUAAUAAUCCGCGACACAGCUCCUCUAAUUGAAUCAGCUAGAGCUCUAACAACGCGAUUGAAGUGGGAUGCCAGAGUUGUAGAAACCGAAAGUAACAGUGAGGAGAGACUCCUUAUCUGUCAGAAACCUUUCUUUAAGAGACAAGCAAGCUGAGAACAAUCUCUCGAGGAACCCCAAGUUAAAGUUCUUGGUAUUCAAAUUCAUUUUGUGCAUGUUAAGUAUCAACAUAAAGCUCCACCGAGGAAGGGGGAUACCAUAUAUUUUGAACAGAAAGAAGAAAGCAGAAAGAUAGUAGAGGAAAAAGAAAAUGAAAUCUUUUGAUGGGACCAACCACAACUCCUAUGGAGCCGUAAGGCAUACAUAGGGCCUUGUAAUUACUUCAAAAUCCGAGGCACCAUUGCAAGUGAAUUCAUAGGAUUAGAUUUAAAUAUUCAUGUCAUGUCUCAGUACAACAAUACAACCACAUGAUUAAGAUUGUGAAAGAUGAUUACAGAAUAAGCAAGUGCUACUACCUCUGCAGUACAGAAGAAGAAAAAAAAAAGUCCUUGGCAGUGCAUUUGUGAUGAAAUUUGUUUUCACUUCAUUUUAUCAUUUUCUUCCAUUUCAUUUACCUUCAAUGGAAACUAAUUUUGAAUAGCAAGUGAAUUGAACCAUUUUCUUGCUUUGAGUCAUGCCUAUGCUUUGUCACAUAGUGUUUGAAUGUUUUGUGUCCCUGGUGUGCGGCAGAUCAUUAAAUUGCACCAUUGAAUACACGUGAUGACUAGUUUUGGUGAUGCAUUGGAAGGUCGGCAUUGAAGUCAAAGUGCAUUUGUAGAUGAGACUCCGACCUACCGUGUCUAAUGCACUUCAACUGCAAUUGAAUUGAGAAUUCUACUUGAAAAAUUUGAGGUAUCGGUGUACUACGUUUUGGUCGGUGGACGAAUGUCUCUUGACACAAUCAUAUUUGCAUUUCAAUGUCCUUUAUUGAUGGAUGCCUGCACCGGUGAGUGAGGACUCUGGAAUGUUUUGUUUUUUAACAGGCUGGCAGAAGCAUAAAGGUUUUUCCCAUGGCCCAUGGGGGACGAAGGGUACAGGAUAUAACAGAUAAGCCAGUUUACUUGCAUCUGAACAUUUGAUUUAAUAAAAUUAAAUAUUUAAUUUAAUAAGUGUAUAUAUAUAUAUUUAUUUAAAUUUUUCUUUUUUUAUAAAUAAAAAAUAAUUAAUAAGUCACAUAAUCAGUUAAUAAUGCUUUAUUGUUUAUCACACCACAGCAGCUACAUUUAUUAGGCAUGCCUUUCCUAUCAAUAAAUUAAGUACCCAUUAAUUUUCUCAAAAUUUUUAAGGUUGAGUGCUCAUUUUGAAAUUUAACAUUUAUCAAAUUUUUUACUUUUGAAUUCAACAUAUUAUUUUAUUCAAAAAGAGAUGUAAUUUAUUGGAUUUUAUUUAUUUAAUGAAUUAAUGUCAAAAUUUAGUAUAUACAAUUAAUAAAACUAACCAUUGCUAUGUGAAGGUGAUUCUUAAAAAUAUAUAUAUGAAUCCCAUAAUUUUAUUAAUAGUAAUUUACUAAUUUUUAUCAUAAUUUUUUUAUAUGGAUAAAAUGGAAAAUAUUGCAUUUUAAUUGAAAGAAAUAAUAAAUUGCAUCCUCAAAUGAAAUUUUGAAAAUGUUAGAUUUUAGAAUAAAUAUUUAACAAAUGUUUAACGUAGAAAAUUGGUGUUUCAAAACAAAAUAAGGAACUUUCGAAAGAACAUUUAAAAUUUCUAGCAGCCGACCUUAGCUCAGUUGGUAGAGCGGAGGACUGUAGUAGGAAAUAACCUUAUAAGCCAUCCUUAGGUCGCUGGUUCGAAUCCGGCAGGUCGGAAAUCUCUUUUUUAACAAAUUUUUGAACAAUUUUUUUUGAUUAAUACACCACAAAAUUUUGGCGCCGAAUCUGAGAAAAACCGUUGAAUUGUUAUAGCCAUAUUAAAUUUAUAUCAUAACCAAAACCUUAAGUAAACAGUCAUGGUCAUGGCUUGGCGCUUCUUCUUCCUCGGGAUACCCCUCUUAAACCCUAACCCUAAAUUCCCAAACCCAUGCUCUUUCUCCACCUCUUUCCUCAUAACCAAAACACCUAAAAAGCACAAACCCAAGCGCCCCAAACCCGAUUCUCCCCGCACCCGACCCGUCACGCCCGACUCCAACAAAAUCCCCCAGUUCGAGUCCCUCCUCGACCGCGACGCCACCUUCCGAUUCCUCACGAAAACCAAAGAAUUCCUCUCUAAACAAUCCGAACAAAUUCUCCCCCUCGACGACGCUGGCAAACUCCACCGCGAACUCGGAUUCCCCCGCGGCCGAAAAGUAGCCCGAUCCAUUGCCCGCCACCCGCUCCUCGUCACCACCUACCGCCACUCCGACAACAAAAUCUGGCUCGGAUUCACUGACUUGAUGGAUCAAUUACUCCUUGAAGAGAAAUCGAUCAUGGAAGCCGUGGAGGAAGAUCGAGUUACGAAAAUCUGCAAAUUAUUAAUGAUGUCGAAAAAUAAGCGGAUUCCAUUAAGCAAGAUUUAUCAUAAGAGGCUUAUAUUUGGAAUUCCAGAGGAUUUCAGGGACAAAAUCGGAAAAUACACCGAUUAUUUUCGCCUAGUGAUUGAAGAUGAUGGGAAACAAGUCCUUGAGUUGGUAAACUGGGAUCCAAGUUUAGCUGUAAGUGCAUUGGAGAAGGAGUUUUUAGUAAAUGAAGAUAAGGUGAAGAAAGCUUUCAAGUUUCCGGUUAAAUAUGGGAAAGAUUUGGGCUUGGAAGAAAAUGAUGUCAAGAAACUUAACUUGUUAAACACAUUACCGCUGGUUUCGCCUUAUUCCGAUGGGUGGAAGUUGGAUUUAUGGAGUUUGGAAGCGGAAAAAUAUAGGGUGGGGAUUAUACAUGAGUUUUUGAGCUUGACUUUGGAGAAGAGAGCUUUGAUACAUCAUAUUGUGGAGUUUAAGGAGGAGUUUAGUUUGACUAGGCAGACUUAUGAGAUGCUCAAGAGGCAGCCUUGGACGUUUUAUUUGGCGGGGACAGAGAUGAACUGGGCAGUGUUUUUGAAAGAUGGGUAUGAUGAGAAUGGGAAUUUAAUCGAAAAGGAUCCACAGGUGCUUUUUAAUGAAAAGCUUUAUAAGUUUGCUCAAAUGCAGGAUGAGGAAUUGAGUUCUGAAUUUGGGGAGAAAUGAUAACGAGAUUGAUAUUUUUUAGUGGUUAAUCAUGUGGAUUGAGUUGCUGAAUAGAGAGUCAAGAUGGGCUCCAGAAUACAGCUGGAGGGACAGAGAGUUUUAUGAUCAAGGUGAAUGCUGCAUUUUACAUAUGUAAGGUAUUGAAGAUUAAUUAUUUGCAAUAUGUUGUGAUGUUCAUUUUUGUUAAUCUUAUUCUCAAAAUAACUUUUUGUUCCUUCCUGGCCUUGAAUAUGUAAUAGAAGUUGCAUAGCUGCUCCAAGCCCUAAUCUUUUGAAUUCAACAGUUCACAUGAGCAUAGUAGUCAUGAUCACAUAUAAAGAUCUGUCAGAAACCAUGUUUUCUGUUGCAGUGGUUGAAAUUGCCAUAGGUGGAGCCCUUAUCUAGGAAGGAUUGCAUUGUCUGUGAUCUUGUUUGAACUUUUGUAGUUUCCUAAUCAUGUUUUUGGCUUAUGUCAGUACUUUUAUCUGUCAAGCUUCAAAAUUAGAUUUCAAUAUAAGCUCAAACCCUUCUAGACUACAUGAUAAACAUUGUGUGAUUUAUAAAGCUUAAUUUCUUGCUUCAUCUAUGAUCUCUUUUUCCUUGCUAUGUUUUCUUUCCGUAUGGUCUUCUUUGCAUGUCCUGAAAUUUACUUCUUGCACGUUGUUCAUGUCAAGAAAGAUGCUAUCAAGGGCCCCAGUUUGGCUGAUAGGUUUAACAGGCAUCAUUGAACUACUAUGGUGUUAAAUUAUAAUCUAAGAGAAGUUUUCUGGUCCUCCUUGAUUUACAGGCCAGACUCAUGAAAAGCAAGGUUCCAGUCAUGCAUUUCUUCACAUUGAAAAGGGUCUUCUGGUUCUUUCAACAUUAGAGUCAAUCUAGGAUCAUUGCAUUUGAUAUGCUGCUAGAUGAGUGGUUCUGGUCUCUUAGAAACAACUCUCAGUGAGUGGUCUAGUCUCUUUAGAGUUAACUCCAUAAUUUGCAACUUGGCAGAAAAUAUCGAUGGCCAAUUGCCUGAAUCUUACUGGCAAAUAUCCAAUCUCUUUCAUAUUGAAAUCUGUGAAUGAUACAUGCUGGUUUUGUUUGAGUUGAGAUCAGUGUUCCUCUUGUUUCCAAUUGUCAAAUCAAGAUCUCUAUUCUGGAUCAUAACUAGGGAUGAGUUUCAAGGUUGUUUUUGACAGCAGAAGUUACAGGUCCUUUUCAAGAAUAAAACCUUCUGUACUGUUCUUCAUAUUGCUAAUACGUCGAUGCUCUUACUAUUAUCCAAUUGUAGUUAAUACUCUCUGCAGUUAAUAAACUAAGCAAACACUUUCUUUUUCUUUAUGUUAGAGGGAAAAGAAAAUAAAAUGCAGUGUGUGUGUGACAGAAAUCCUACCUUCUAAAUAUUACUAAUAAAUUGGUCAAAAGAAUUCAUUGACACUCAGUUCAGUUUUUUAACUAAUAAACUUUAUCAUCUCUCUUUUACAUGGUUUUACCCAUCACUAGUGAUUAAUAUGCUAUAAUAAGUUGGUGAAAAGUGAAAUAUAGCACCUUUUUUUCAGUCUUCACCUUAGUUAUAUUUUAUAUGAGAUCAUAUUGACAAAUGAUAUAAAAUUAUGGCAUGAUAUAAGGGUUUAGUUAUGUACCAUGAAAGUAUAGGUAAGUGCAAAAGGGGAAAAAGGUCUCCAUUCGAGCAGGGAUGAUAGUCUCGGUUCCAAUAGCGUCUUAUAUAAAAGCUUCCCUAGAAUACACCUUUUGGGGCUUUUCAAUCGGUUAUCUUUUGUCUGUGCAAAGACAGUCUAAGUGAGAUGACUUUAUUUUCAAAAUUACACCUUUUUAUCUAAAACUUACGUCCGAUAGAAUUUUCUUGCUACUUUAUGUCUUUUUCUGCUCAGGGACCUUUUCUAUGUUAGGAGGCUUUAGCUCCUAAAUUACAUUUAUCCAUUUCCUAGCCUUCCACUUCCUAAAUGCAUAGCUAUUUCAUAUAGUAUAUUUCUGGCUUUAAUAUGCCUUUAUAAUUUCAAACGGUAUGUGUGGUGAUCUCGGCUGCUUAGCCUCCCUUGGUAAAGCAUAGGGCUGAAACAUUUGACAUUGUAAAUACUAUCUAACAUUUUCAUGCUAAUGAUCUCAAUCUUGUCUGAUUUACUUAACGUGCAUAUAUGCGAAAAGUGUAACUAUUCCUGUUAAGUUGAGCAAAAUAGAAAUGAAAACUGCAUGCAUUAACACUUGAUUACACCACACAAACUUAAGUCGAAUUACCAAAAAAAUAACUCCAAACAUGAUAAGGGGGAAGACAAAUGUCUGCAUAGCAAGCAGUCUUUAGGGUCACAACACAAAAUAAAGGAAAUUUAAAAAAAUUCCCUUGAAUUCUCCAGGUAAAUUACUGGGAAAAUCUCUUACGUGAUGAAGAAGCUUGUGCAGGUGAAUUUAGAGAUACAUGAUGACGACUUCGGCUCUUUGAUUUAUUCUUGCUCCUCUGCCCGGUUGCCACACUGCUUCUGUGCACACUGGUGGAUGUUGAUGCACCUUGGCUUGCUCUUUUUGCUGCUUUUCUUCUAGAGUUCCAGCUGCCGCUCCCUAGGGCAGCUUUGGCAACACUAUCAGUGAGCACUUCCCUUGCUCUUUGUGGUUUGAUGGGUUGCUUGUUCAGGUAUGUAAGCUUAGAGAGUAAGCUACAAAUUGCCUUGCGCAGCUGGUCAUCACUGAUGUUGCUCUGAACGGGAUUUCCCAACAGAUUCAAUGCUUGCAAUGAGUUGAAGUUGGCAACAAGCUGGCCCAGCGCUUUUGUCGUUGUUAUCUUGUUGAAGCUGAGGUCUAAGACUGUCAACUUCAAGAGCCUAUGUAGCCCUUCGACAUCACUAAUCUUGUUCCCAGCAAGAUACAGUUCUUUGAUCAGCGUGCAGUUUGACAGCCCUGGCAUCAUAAAAAACCGCAAUGCACUUUCAGAACUGCGUGCAAUUUAUUUAAGGAGAAUGUCUUCUGAAAAUUUAACCAGAAAACUUUUGAGGUGAAAAUUGGGAAACAGAUGUGCAAGUUAAUUACCAUGUCCAAUUCGAGCAAUGCGAUUAUAACUGAGGUCAACUACUCGCAACCGAGUUAAUUCUCUAAGUCCUUCAAUAGUGUGGAUCUUGUUUCUUGACAAGUCGAGUGUGUGAAGACCCUUUGGAAGUGAUCCUGGAGUAAUGUGGGCUGCCAAGAAAGCAAAAAUCAGAGUCAUAUAUCUCAAUUCAAACAAAUAACCAUCUUAAACUAUCAGUAACUUUUUUUGAACACGCCAUACCUAUAAAGUUGUUUGACAAAUUGACAGCGCGAAGGCUGGAGAAAUGUGUGAUGAUUGGAAUGGCUUUCAAACCUAUUCCUGAAAUAUGAGCAACAGUUGAGGAAGAAUUGAGAGACUGAAUGACGCUAUUGGCAUGUAAAAUCUCCUCAGACAGAUUGAUAUCUUGACGCCGAGUCAAGUGGGUUGUGCUUCUGGCUGGUGAUUUACCAGUGUCAGGAGAAGGUGGAAAGGUUAUACCCUCUUCGCCAUUCCCAUCUUCAGCAGGCUGUUUGAUUUGGGUUUCAAGAUCUCUCACCCACUCAUCUACUCUCGUGAAGGAUGAUGAUCGAGCUGGGAACGCAACCCAUUGGUUCUGGGGCCAUAAACCAGAAACUCCUGUUUGAAAACCAUUCCAGCUCUGGUUGUCAUCACAGUUGCCGGUAAAGUCUUUGUUCAAGGACUCUCCGGUAAAUGAUCCAGGUGAUUCCAUCUUGCUCAGUUUCAUCGCUCGAUGUGGCUCAAUUGUAUCUGAAGAGUAUCCACCUUGCUGGUUCAAAGUAGCAGUGACAGGAAGAGGCCGUGGUUUUGUUGUCCAAUGUUUGUGCAAGUUCCGGUGGCUCCAGAGGAAUAAUUUCCACCAUAACCUUCUGCUUCUGGAAGGCAGAACUUGACUCGAAGAAUGUUUUUUCAACAUCACUCUGUCAGCACUGCAACGAGUCAUUACAGAAGCUGGGCUACCAGGAUAAAAGUCGUCGCUUACUCUUGCAGAUAACUCCUGCAAUUCUUCAAAGGAUUGAGGCUUAGAAGGAGGUAACUGAUCAGCUACCUUUCUUAGCACAUCCCUCGUCUCCAAAUUAGAGCAAGAGCGCUUAAGCUUUGGUGAAGCCCAGAACUCAGCCCUCCCGAUCCCUGGAUCACUGAUAUGUCCACUUUGAAUCAUAUCAACAGCCUUUUCAACAUCUUUCUGUGCUUGGUACAUAAACUCUUCCUUUACUUCAGUAUCAAAUAAAGAUGAAGAAUCCAACCUUUUGGUUCUGAAAUCAAAUUCUUCUUCACCUGAAUUGGCUACAUGGGCUUGGAGAUCUAAGUCAGAGUUAUCUCUCUUAAUUGAGGCAUUCUCUUCAUGCUCAUCUUCCCCUUCAUAUGCUAUCUCUGCUGCUUCACAUCCAACAGGACUCUCAUGGCCGAUUACCUUGACAUUGCAAAGAGAAUCCUCCUGAAAGCCAACAGGUACAGGGACAGUAAAUGUUGUUGAUUUCAAUUCAUCACUCUGAAAAGGUUGCACCGGUUGUUCGAGCUUAAUUUGGAGGGUUCUAACCCCUUUAUUUAGUUCAACAGCUUUUGAAGACACAUCACCCCCCUACAAAUAACAGAAUGAAGAAGAUGCAGCUGGAAAUCACCAGAUACACAGAAUUGAACUAAUAUGAAAAUUAAAACCCUUCUCACCUUAUCUUUCUUUUUCUUUGCGGUCAAGAGAGAGAAGCAAUUGAGUUUUGCCAUUUGACAAAGGUGACUGAUUCCAAUUGUCAGAGAAGCCUGAAUAGAUGCACAAUUUAUUUCCGUUUUUCCCCUUUUCUUCUUCCUCUUCUUGAACUUUGCCUAUUGACGCUCACAUCUCUAACCAAUCCUUAAAUUAAGCUUUUAACAGUGAAAAUUUUGAGUUGCAAAGAUCACAUGGAGAAUGAUUGAUCAAAAGUUAGCCAUAAUCGAUAGGAAGGCACCAAACCAAUGACCGCGUGCAAUCGGAAGGUGAAUGAUCACCGGAAAUAAGAGGGCCAAUGCCUUCUCCGGCUUGAGAAGGUUUCACUAGAUUGUCGGCCAGAGUUGUAUGCCCAGCUUCUCUCCAGAAGCUUCACCAAAUCCUUGUUUAAAACCUCUCCUGUUUAUUCACAAGACCAACAAAACAAACCAGUGAACUCCAGAGCUCCUUUAAGGUAAAGUGUUUUUCACAGUUAUUGGAGCAAACAUGUCUGCCAUAUUAGAUAAUUCCAAAACCCCAUUAAAAAAAAGCUAGAACUUUAUUGUCUUUUUUAAACAAACAAGGGAAUCCCACAGAAGAUCUUUUCCGAGUUCUCAUUAUUUCUUAAUACUCAUCGAAUGCAUUAUACAUCAACUCUCUCUCUCUCAUAACAAACAAUUCAAAUUAAAUUAAUCCCAUUGCAGAUAUAUGAAUUUAACAUCCUAAGACAAAACUCCUCUCAGAUUCUUACCAAAAAGUUGGAUCUCGAAUGCACAUAGAGUUUCGGGGACGGAUGAGUUAGAAGGAACAUAAGAAGGAACCAGAUUAGAAGUAGAAACUAACCUGUUGAAGCUGAACUCCGCCAGUUUGUUGAUCAAACAAACUACUCUUAAGACUUCUUUCUUGAGCAACAAAAAAUUUCCAAGCUUUAGAUCUUAUAAAGGAACACCAGAUAUUAGGGAGUAAGGUAGAAGUGGUGAAGGGUGAAUCUUAUAUGCGGUGGAGGGAGGAUGCAAGGCUGGAAGGAAGAGACUGGAAAUAGGUAGUGACUUCAAACAGCAAAAAGAAACAAAAUUAAGAGAGGCCGGUAGUAAAACGACAUACGCGCAUGAAAUACGGUUUAAUGGAACCCCACCUUUUAUUAUAAUAUAAAUAUAAUCAAAACAGAUGCCAAAAUAUUUUUACCUUUGAUUUCUCUCCACUCGGGAGAAAGGUUUACAGUGGGGUAUACGGGCCCUUCAUGCCACAUGCUUCUGAGUUAUCCUGUCCCCAUAAUUUUCCGUGAGUGGAGUGGCCUUUUCAUUAAAUAAUAAUCAAAAUUAUCUCCACCGAUGUGAUUUCCUGUUGAAAUUUUGAUGUGGGAAAACGAGGGUUCAUGAUGAUAUGCAAGUGGUGCUCCUGAAGAGGAUAAACGAUCUUUUAGAUUCUGGAAAAUCACAGACGAUGUUAUGUCGUACACGAUUGAUGUUACAACGUACGGUCGUAGAAUUGCAUGGGACUCUCUGGCUUUGCCGCCUUGGUUCGGUGCUUUUGGCUUUAGCAGCUUUCGUGGAUUACUUCCUCCUUCUACAUGACCUAUGAAAUUUCGUCACGUCGGCAAAUAAGCCUCUGUUUUCUAGUAUUUUUUGACAUAUACGUUUCUUAAUUCUUACUACUUGAUUUCAAAGCGUUGGAAGAUUGGUUGACAUUAAAAGAGUAACUUGUCACGAACAAAAGGAAUAUCAUUCGAACGUGGAAAUUCAUGGACAAUCUGAUUUAACGUCAAUUGUUGAAUUGGUUUUCAUUUUCAUUAUAAAAUAGUGAUACUAACCCAUGGUUCAUUUGGUACCAUGGACGCCACUUUAUCAUAGUAGGACCCCUUCCGUCGUGGAUGAAGAAGGCCAGAUGGCGGUGUCGUACGCCUUGCCGUGCAUUGUUAGCCCAAUUUUCUACUUUGUCGUGAUCUGUCUUUCACUUGCUGAAGUCACCACUGACGUCUUUCCUUUUAUAAUCAUCUUUCCAGAUUCUUUUCAUUCUCAAUUCUCAAUCUCUAAAAUCCACGCAAAUUUGUGAACCACGAAAUUAGCAUCGAAGGAUCAAUAAUACGCGUAACUGUCAUUUGCCUUUGGUGCCUGCUCACUUGCGUAAUCAACCAUGAGAAAUCACGACGUCUUUUGUUUAAUGACUGAUUCUUCUCAAUCAGUCAUUAAAAUUAGAGUUAUCCUGGAAACUAUUGUUUUUUUCUCUUCUGAUGUGAAAGCGAAGAAAUAUUCUAAUUAAGCCCGAAGAAGAGGAAGAAGGACCCUGGAAGUUUCACGCUUUCAGCGCAAUGGAAGUAUGGCCAAAUUCUUUAUUGACCCGUUCCUCGAUCGUUAAGAUGUCUUUCCUAGGACCCAUGUAUUAGAUACUCGAAGUGGAAGCGUCAGACAUUCCUCAAUGAGGCCUUAAUUGAGAGUAAAAAAAUACUAUCAACUAGCUCCUCCCAGAAAACCCCACGCUGUUUCUGGAAGGAUGCCUUCCAAUUCCAAGAAUCUCAGGAUAUCAGCCUCAUACGAACAGUCCUAGACUGUUUAGCCAGGGUGAGCUAUAUUCAUCUCAAGAACAGUAAAUCUAACUCUUUUUUUUUUUUUUUCUGAAAAAGGAAAAUAUCUAGAGCAACUUUUACCAGGAUGGGCCAUGCACUUGUUUGAGAUUGGCUCUUCUUUGUCAACUUUUUUUAAAGUUAAAACUCAGUUUGUAAUUAUUGACCAUGACAUGCACAUGCAUAUCACAUGCUAACGAUCUACUUCUGUGCAUGCUACUCCCUGGAGGCCUGGACAUAAUUUAUUCAAUUAUCACAUCCCCCACCUGUUACAACAAUAUCUGCUGAUCUCCAAGAUCUCCCAAAAAAGCUAGAAUCGCCAUGGCUAAAUCGAGAGUUGAAAUACUGCUUUUUUAAUUUCAUCCCAAAAUUAGAUAAGGAAAAUAAUUGUCUAAAACAUGUCCAUGGGAAGACCUAAUAUAUUUAUGCUGUAACGUUCCGACUUAUGAAAAGGAACCAAAGCAUGAUAAAUGUGUUUUCUCGGUGAAUUAGGCAUGCCCAUGGGCGGACUCACCUUGAGGAGAGUGGUGUCACAUGACAUCACUCAUUUAGCAAAAAUUUUACUUUUUGUAUAAUUUUUAUAGAGUUUUAUUAAGUUUACUUAGUUAAUAAUAUUAAUGAACCUAUUAAUUUUUUUAUAAUUUUUUAAAGAAUGGGAUCAAAGAUUUCAAGUUAAAGUAAAUUUAUUAAAAAGUAAUUUAUAUAUUAAUAUUUAAAUAUUAUAUAAAAUUCUAUAAUUUAAAAUUUUAUUAAAAAAAUUAAAAUCUAAAUUAUGCUCAACCCGCAAUAACGCCUUCUUUUCUUGGUUCUUAAUUGUGUUUUUCAUAUUCUUUAUCUAAAAAUUCAAAUUAUAUAUCGAAUGAGUGACGAGUGGAUGAAGGAUUGUUUGAUGACAUAUAUUAAAAAAAAUGUAUUUGAUAAUAUUUCUACUAAUGUUAUUAUAUACCGUUUUCAAAACAUGAAAAAUUGUCGUGAACAAUUAUAGUUAUUUUAAAUAUUUUUACUUGUAUUAAAUAAAUGUAUUGAAAUUAUAUUUUCUUUAAUUUAAUGUUAAACUUUAUAUUGUGUAGAUUUUAACAUAUUUAUAUUUUUUAAUUAUUAUUAUUAUUAUUAUUAUUAUUAUUUUAGUUGGAACACUACUUAAAAAAAUUUCUGAGUUCAUCCUCGGGCAUACCUAUAGCUGAUGUAUGGCUAUAUGCAAGUAUACAACUAUACAUUGAUGAGCAUAUGGUUUAUGCUUAGUUACAUGAAUGCAUAUGGAUAUGAGAGUGCAAAUUGAUGUGCAUAAGGUUGACAUGUUAUGAAUUAUAAUUGUAAAUUGUGAUGUGAGUGGGUGUACUUAUUUUAAAAGCUUUAUUUGCCAUAGGGGUAUGCAUGAUUGCAUGGUUAUAGGGUUGCUGCACUAAACAUGGUUUUAUUGCCAUUGGAUUUGAUAAUCUAUAUGGCUGUUUUUUUUUUUUUGAAAAAAAAAAAGGGAAAUGUGAAUGAAAGGGUAGGAAGAGAGGAGACUGCAUGACUAUGCAUACCCUAUCUCUAUCCUAGAAACUCAAAACAAUACAACAAGUGAAGAGUUACAUCGACCCAGCAAUUGAAUUUAGAAAAAAAAAAAAAAACCCCAAGUACAACAGUACUAAGUAAAUCUGUCGUGUAAAAAAGAUAAAGGUAGUGAUAAAACAUGGAAUAUCAAGGGGUGGAAGUGAACCAGUUCAUGUUUUUCUUUUCUUUGUAUACAUUUCCUGAUGGAUAAUGGAAUACAGAUUACAAAAAUGAAAGGUUUUGCGUUAUAUGGCAUGUGACAUCCUCAGACAGCACUGCAGAUAUUAUUAUAUCAAAUAAUAAUAUGAAAGACCGAAAUUCUGAAUCAAUAUAAAAGCAAAAGGAGGGAAAUUGGGAUUUGGGAGAGAGGACUCGCACAAUUUUUCUUGAGAUCCGACAAAAAAUCAUUAUGUAAUGUACGUAUGUAUGUAACCCCAUCAGCAGGUUGACAACAAAACUUUACUAUAAGCUGAAAUAUGAAGAGUAGAAAGACCCUAGGAAAGGGGCACUGAUGUUGAUCUGUACAGAACCUCAUUAAGUAUUGGGGGAAAUAAUUUUAGAGAGAAAGAAAAACAAUCUAGCACAGUUUCUGAAUCUACUGACUUGCCCCACUUACAUGGCUGUUGAGCAUGAUCUGAAUGAUGGCUUUGAUAAUUUGAGUGCUGUUGAGUAUGAUUUGAAAUGAUGACUUCGCUAAUUUAAAGUGCCAUGGAAACUUGAUUUGAAAUGCUGGAUUUGAUAAUUAAAUUGCUAUGGAUCAUGGUUGGAAAUGCUGUUUUGAAGCAUAUUUUGAAAAAAAAUAUAUUAGACGAUUAAAUUGUAAAGGAAAAAAUAUUGAAGGAUUAAAUUAAAAAGAAAGAAAGUGUUAGAGAAUUAAAUUGAAAAGGAAAAAAUGUUGCAGAAAUAAAUUAAAAAGAAAAUAAAUUUGGAAGACCAAAUUGAAAAGAAAAAUAAAUAUUAAGAGAUUAAAUUGAAAAAAAAAGAUAAAAAGAAGUGAAUAACGUGAAAAGAGUAAAAGGCAGGGAUUAAUGAGCAAUUAGUUCAUUACAUCCGUCCAAGUUGGGGGCUGUUACCAAGUUUCCUUGGUUUGUCCGCCCAAAGCGUUGUCUUGAAGCAUUCUCAUAUUUCUAUUGGCAGAAUACUCCCAAACUGCUUCGAUUGACCUUUACUCGCCAUAUCUUUGAUUUGAGGCUGGGAAAAUUGUAAACAAGGUAAGAUUGAACUUCCUCGCAGCUUGAGCUUUAAAUUAAACGAUUUAUAAUUUUUGUUUCUGUCAUGUUUCAACAAAAACUCAUCCUUUCUAAGUUUGAGGAAUUCUAGAAUUCUAGUUGGUUUUGGUUUGAUUAUAAAGGAAAGAAUUUAAUUAUUUAGAUAUUGGAAUUGUGAUUUGAAAGAUAGGAAUUAUUAGCUAGAACAUGAAACUAGACUUCAAGAUUAGGGUUCGUUUGAUAACCAGAAUGAUAAAUUGCUGGAGAAAUUUUUUUUUUGUAAAAUAAUUUACUUUUAUUGAAUAAAUUGUCAAAAAUUAGGUUAAAUAUUCCGAAUUAUAUUAAGAAAGUUAAUUUAGUCUAUAUCUUUUAAUUACAUUUAAAUAAAUUUUUAAAUUUUUAUUUUGCAUCAAAUAAGUCAUUUUCAUUAAUCAUUAAUUAACUUAUGAUAGUCAACGGUAUAAUCAGUAAUUUUUUAUGUCACAUCAUUUUUCAUGUGAUAUGUUAAUAUGUUAUCUUGAUUACGUUAAUGUCACGUGAUAUAAAAAAUUACUGAUUAAAAAAUAUAUUUUUAUUUUUUUACCCAUUCAAAUGUUCAAAAAUUACUAAUUAAAAAUUUAAAACAAAAAAUUAAAAAAAAAUUAAUUAUUUCAAACUGAUUACUAUAAUUUCUUAAUUGAUUACUAUCUUCUUCUUUUUUAAAAAAAAAUUUUCAUCUUCUUAAUUGAAGUCAUUAUUUCUAAAAACAAAAACCUAAAUCUAAUUGCAUAAGUCAAUUAUGUACUCAAAUAGCCUAAACAAAUCAAUAUCCACAAACAAAUCUUCACUUUCUUGAACAUUCACUAAAUCUAACGUACUCAAAAUAUCUUCUCAUUGUUUGCAAUUCUUUUUCUUCUUUUAAAAAUCGUUCUUUGAGUAGUCUUUAAUUUUUAAAAAUUGUGAAAGAUGUGGAGAGAGAUUUUACUAUUAUUAGUGGUAAAUAAAUUUAACACCAUCAGAUUUCUCUUAUAAAUAUUAAGAAAGAGAAGAGAAAGAUUUGACUUUUUUUUUUAUUGUGGAACAACGCGAUAUGUCUUUGCUAGUUUUAAUAUUAUAAACGUUGUAUGUCUUACUUUUACUCUUCCUCUUUUAAAAAUCGUUUCUGGGUAUUCUUAUAUUUCUCUACAUCAAUUUUUAAUUGAAUUGGAAAAGUUAGAUUAAGUAUUUUUUUUAUUAAGAAAGAUGGCUUCAAUUAAGAAGCAUGGUAAUUAAUUUGCAGCAAUUAGUUUUUUUUUUUUUAAUUUUUUGUUUCAAAUCUCUAAUCAAUAAUUUUUGAACAUUUGGAUGGAUAAAAAAGAAAAAACAUAUUAUUAGUCAACAUUUUUUUAUGUCACAUAAUCUAUCACGUGGCAUUAACGUUAUUAAGAUGACACGUCAACAAACUAUGUAGAAGAUGAUAUGAUAUAAAAAAUUGUUAAGAGACUUUUUUGAUCUAAAAUAAAAGUUCAAAAGUUUAUUUGAAUGUAAUAAAAAGAUAUGGGCAAAAUUGAUUUUCUUAUUAUAGUUUGGGGGCUUUUUUGGGUAUUUAGUCAAUUGAUAAAUAGGAAUAGAUUACAAAACAAAUGUGACAUUUGAUUUUCAAGUUAAAAUUAAGAAUGAAAAUGAAAAUGAGAAAAAUUAAAAAUAAUAUUUUUCAAAGCAUUUAACCACAUAUAAUAAUGAAAGUAAGCUCUAAUUUUCAAAAAAAAAUUCAUCUCAUCAGUUUUUUUACCAUAACACUAUAAAAAUAUCAAUAUUCAUCAAUUAUGUAAAACAUCCAAAGCCUAUAUUCAUAAGUGUGUAUUCAUUAAAUGAUAAUCAUUGAAAUAUUUUUUGUUAUAAUUAUUUGUAAAAUAUAUUCAAUUUUUAAAUAAAAAAUAUUAAUUGCAUUGAAUGAUUUCAUUAAUUUUUUUUUAAUUUUAAUAGUAUUGAAUAAUUUAAAUAGUAAUAUUUUAAGUUAAAAUUUUUUGAAGUUAAAUAUUAAUAUUUUUUAUUUUUUCAUAUUUUAAGUUAAAUAUUAAUAUUCAUCAAACUUGUUAUGCAAAACUUAGUAUAAGAGUAGUUUUUCUGUUCUUCAAAAAAUAUCUUAUACCUCUCAAGAGUGUAAGACAUUUUACAUGGUUAAUAAGUAUUUUUCCUUAUUGACCCAUAAACGUUUUAUAUUUGGAACAAAUUUUUCAUCUUCCAAACAAAUAUAAGUUUUGAAAACAUUUUCAGAAAAAAAUUUUAUGUCAAAUCAAACAAACUCUUAGUUAGUUAAUUCUGGAAACUUAAAUGCAAAGGAAUUAAGGAAAGUGUGUAUAUUUAUAAGUGCUCAUGGGACGCUAGGAAGCUCAAUGAAUUAUUGGAGGAUUGAUAGUUGGAGGAAAAAUCACAAUGUCACUAGGAGGGGAUGUGCAUUUAAAUGUUUUAGAAAAUGCGCGAAAAGUUUUAAGUGUGCUCUGCUCAAAUGUUUUUGAAAUGUGCAUGGGAACAAGCUUUGUGUAUUGCUACACUGUGAUGCUAUGUGAACAAUUGAAUCACUAUAUACAUAUUGAUAUGAACUGUUAUUAUUGUACAUUGGAAGGCAUGGUAGUUGAGUUACGUGUCAUAUGGAUAUAUAGAUAUUAAUUGUUAUCAUUAUGAACUGUGGGGCAUGGUAGUUGAGCUUCGUGUCAUGUAAAUAUAUAGAUAUAAAUUGUUAUUGCCAUGUGGUUGCCAUGUGGUUUUGUGUGUGUAUGUGAAUUGCGAUCCUUCUUUAGUCAUUGUUAUAAUGGUGAUUGAUAACUGUUAACGUAUGUUGAGAUAUGGAUUGCGUGCCUUAGAUGGGCUGUUGAAUAGCAUGAUGAAAUAUGUGUCAUGCCUAGUAAAGUAAUAAAGAAUUACUGAUUUUUAUAUUGGCAUUGUUAUGAACAUGUAAUAUGGGCUUCAGAUUAAUGAUAUGCUGUUUAUUGUGGACAUUUAUGCAUAAUGCAUAGCAUAGUCGUAGUAGGGCAAAAAUACCAUUGGUAUGUGAGGCGAAGUACUCUAUUGAGCAUUUCCGAGUGGGGUAGAAAUACUAUUGAUUGUGCACUGCCAAGUAGGGCAGAAAUACUACUUUUUGAGCACCACCAGGUGGGGUAGAAAUGCCACUGAUCCUGCAGAUGUUUAAUGGGGGAAAAAUACCACUAUUGAGCACCGCCAAAUGGGGUGGAAAUAUCACUGAUCAUGCAAUGCCGAGUGGGGCAGAAUACCACUGUUGAGCAUCACCGAAUGGGGCAAAAGUACCAUUAAUUGUGCAUGCAUAUUUACAUUUGUUAAAUUGUGAAUAAUGAGAAAACAUGCAAGGCAUUGAUGGUAGGAAUUAAUAUGUUAUGUUUUUUUGUGGGAAUUGUACACUUUAAACCAAAAAAAUAUGGAUGUAAGAGCAUGGUCCUAGGCUGAAGGUGCCUAGUUUGGGUAUAAGGGAGGCUCUCAUGAGUUGGGAUGCUUGGCAUUGCAAAUUGGGUAAAGUAUGGAGACCUACUUUAAGAGUCUCUAUACUUUUGUUAUGUUUUGCUGGAAAUUGCUUGUUUCUUAUUUGUAUUCCCUAUAAGGGGCACGUGGUAAGUUGUUGGAAUUGGUGGUAAGGUUUUACGUGAAAUCGUGAUAAAUGUACUAAAGGUUUUAUCUAGGCAAAGCUCAUGUGCAUUACGGGUUUUUAUUAGGCAAACAUGCAUGAUUUCUGAAAUGAAUGUGCAUCGUUUAUAAACUAUUUCUCCCUAUUUAAUGCUUGUUCCUUUUGUUAUCCUUCACUGAGCUAUAGUACUCGUUAUUUUAACUUGCAUGUUUUUAGAACGAGACCUAGACGGGUCAUAGAUUCUCGAGAGGAUCCUCAAGUGCACUUUUGGUAGUUCGAGACAUUUGGCAUUCGGUAGUACUUCCACACCUAAUAGUCACUUUGUUGGUAGUUGGAUGUUGGGCUAUCUUGUUGAUUGGUCAUUGGACUUUGUAGGCUAUAUAUGUACAUAUGUAUGUGGGUUUUUUAGACAUGUAUGUAAGCCUAGUAUAAGAUAACACGGCUAUGAGCUGGCAAACGUAAUGUAGCUUUUGUUUAUGCCAAGAAUGAGUGUACAACAGAUGUUAUAGCAAAUGGUUGUGCCUAAUGUAAAUAUCUUGUGUUUAAAUCCAAAAGAUGGAUGUGAAAUGUUUUUCUAAGAUUGAUUGAUUGCCUUUUUACGGGUAAUCUGUAACUUUAUAUUAAAACUCUCUCCUAAGGACUUCAAUUGGGUGCCAUCUGAAUUUGUCAAUUGCACGACACGUGACGUACAACUGGAGUGGCUGUAUUUAUUUUCAUUUCACGUGGAUCUUCAUCAGGUAAAUCUUGGCCUGCCCGAGCAAUUGGUCCAAUCCAUGGGCUGCUUUCGAGCAAAAUUUGUUGGCUAGCGAGGCCUACUGUUUGGCUCAAUACUGAUGAUUCUCAAUUGCUUUCCAUGUCAGAGAUUUUUCCAUGAUUUGGUCGGUGUUUUUACCAUGUUCAAGGUCUAUUCUGCCUUUUGAUUGUAAAUAUGCUUUUAUUUGGAGGGUAUUUUAAACCAUUUGUUUAGUUCAAUUAUUUUUAUGGUCUUUUCAACUCAACUCAUAAUUUAUAGAGUUCUAUAUCAUUUUUUUGUUUUCCGUUUCUUUUCCAUAUUAUUUGUUUAACUUCCUCAUCCGUUGUUUCAUUCCAUUUUGGUCUUUUUCUUUCUCUUCUUUACUUUGGUUCAUUUUUUUUUCACCUCUUUUGACUCUUUUUUCCUUUUGUUCCUCUUAGUUUCAUUUCGGUUUUUUUUUUUUCCAUUCCUUUGCAUGUUCUGCUUCUACAUCUUUUUUUUUUUUAAUAGUUGUUUAGUUCAACAUUUGGCCAUUUGUGGUUUUUUAUUCUUUCUUUUAUUUCUUCUUUGAUUUUUAGCUAUUUCCAUUAUGAAAUGCUGAAUGAUUUUUAAAAAAUUUUGAUCCUCGGUUUUUGUAAAAUUUUUUUAAAAUUAAUUUUAAAAUUUAUGUAACAAAUAAUUUUGCUAUAUUUUUUUAAUCAUUCGAUGAAUGGAGUUUUUCGUAGGUGUUUAAUAUUUUGGAUGGUUAUGUUUAAUUAAGAAUUAUAGAUUCCAAGUUUAUGCAACUUCUCUUUAAGUAUGAAAAUGGUAUUAUUUUUCUCUUAAAAUUUGACAUGAUUCCUAAAGUCUUAUCUUAAUUCUGAUAUUGGAAUUGAAUAAUAUGUGGAUUUAUGAGUUAUGGUUGAUGGAUAAUAAAAUCUUUUCUGGUUAUGUGCGCUUAUAUUAUCAUUUUCAUUUGAGAAUUAAUUGAUAAUUAUGAUCCUUGUGGUUCUAUGGACUUCGGUAUUUUAUGUUUUAUUAUAAUUCUUGAUUCUUCAUCAUAGUAUUAAGUUUGUUUAGAAGGUAGAGCUUCCAUAAAUUCUUGGUUUAGGUAUUCACCUUGAUGCUCCCGGCUUUCAACUGAAUUUGCUAAAGAAAAAAUGAUUUUAAUUUGCAUUAAAUUAAAUAUUUCUCAUAACUCCCCUGGAAGGUCUUUCUCAGGGCUUGAAUACCUUAGGAACAAUUAAAGUUAUGGCUACCUUUACCAACAUGGCUGAAAAACUAAUUUAUUUGUUAUGUUAACCAUUUGUUACCUGCCGGUGAGCAUAGCACAGGCCAUACUCUAGUGCUAUAUAAAAUGUGGUUGAAGCUUAUGUGGGCUGGGCGAGCUACUCCCGUCGGAUUCUCGUGCCGGUCAUGGCCCAGGGCGGGGUCGUGACAUAUGCAAACCAAACUUAAGGCGAAAAGGUGCAGUCAUAGCUGUUGCAGUUGAUUGAUUAUGACAUGAAAGAUGGCCCUGUCGUCUUGGACCAAAAACCAAGCUCUUGUUUCGUGAAAUAGCUGUUAAUUAGAUUCUUAUGUUGCCAACUGGUGCAUUAUUUUGUUAUUUUCAAGCAUCUGGUAUACCUCUUCGGAUCACCGAGAGCCAGAGAGUACCAAAAGAGGCAGAAAACCGAGAAAACAAUUGGAUAAUGAUAGAAGAGGUUGCUUUACAGAUAUUUGCUUGCCAUAUUAUAACACUUUCCAUGAUUGCAUUUGACAAUUUCGUACUGCCUAAAAUGGAAAUUUACGGUCAAAAUCUCGUCUUAAAAUCAUUGAAAAGGUAGGUUCCAUGACCAAAGAAAAGAAAAGUUUUCAUUCUAUUUUUCUAUUGGUAAGAUAUGAAUCAAAUCACUCCAGAAAAUUAUAGAAGUAUAAAUAUUUACAUUUUUAUAAGUUUUGCAAUAUUUCAACGAUUUAAGCUUGUGGGUUUUAGUAAUGUAUUCUGGUGAUGAACUUGGAUUAUGCAUAUUUAGCAUAUAGAUCUUCCAUUCGUUUUUCUUCAAUUAAUUUGCAUACAAGAACAAAUUGGGAAUCUGUGUCACUUGAAAAUGGACUCACACUUAAAUUUAAGCUAAAAGCCCAUCAAUAAGCCUAAACUAAAUAGAUUUGGGCAACAAUUCUAAGCAUCCAAUGCGAGAUUCGAGUGAUUAAUAUAAACCCAGCACAAUUUAAAGCAGGGCCCAAAUUGGCCCCAGAAUUUCGGGUGUAAACCAAAUUUGAUCCGGGCCAGCCCGUUUGUUUCCUUAAUCAACGUGGCCAUGCUUGGGUACCCCAAUCAAAUCCCCGUUUCCAAAUCACAAUCCGUUGUUUUCUCCAUUUCUCCAGAUCAUUUACAUCCAAAAUUCUUCCGUUUUGUCACCAUUGUUUCUCUCUCUCUCUUUCAUGGCCUCCGCCACCGUCGACCACCGCCACCACCACCAACUGCAUCUCGAAUCUAUUCCAGUCGUUGACCUCCGCCUCAUCUCCCAACCCGAACUCCUUUCCCUCUCUUUAUGCUCCUCCUCUCCUUCUCCUUCCAAUGCCGACACCGAACUCUUCACUCCCAAAAUUGACCGCUCCGUUUUCAACGAGUCAGCCGGCAGCCGCAAACAAACCUUCUCCCGCCUCCGUCUUGCUGCCCCGCGCAACCACCUACCCCACCCCCACCAUUCCUCUCCUUCCUCCAAACCCUUCACUUCUCUUUCUCAACGCCUCAACCCUGUCAACCCCGGACCUCUUGACGAAGAAAGCUCGAACAUCCUCUCUCUGCUAAAAUCACUUUUCAACAUAGAUGAUUCUCUAACUUCUAACACCAACGAAGACGAACCGGACGACGAUAAGGAUCUUGUGCCGGUUCAAAUCGAAUACGAAAACGGGAAGGACAACGGGAAUUCGCUUUUGCAGAAUAUCCCGGUCGGCAUUGUUAGUUGUAGCGGAAGUAAAAGGAAGCGAGGGCGGCCGAGGAAGGACCAGAAAGAUAAUUUGCUGAUUGAGAGCGAGAAUUUAGUAAUUGAGGAACAUCAAGAAACGGCAGCCUUUGAUAGGGUAAGCGAGUCGGUGAAUGCUGGUGGUAUUAGCAGUUGUAGUGAAAGGAAGAGGAAGAGAGGGCGGCCGCGUAAGGAGGAGUCUCAAAACAGAGUGAUUGUGAGCGAGGAAAAGAAAGUUGAGAGUGAAAUUGAGAGGGUAGCAUUGGGAAAUGUGGAGGCGAUUUUGGGAAUUGAAGAGGAGUUGAGGAGGAGGACUGAGGCGAUAGGAACAGAGGCGGAAUUAUUGGAGUUUAUGGGGGGUUUAGAGGGGGAAUGGGCGAGUAAAAGCCAGAAGAAGAGGAUUGUUGACGCGGCUGGUUUUGGGAAUGUGCUCCCUCAAGGGUGGAAACUUAUGCUCUUUGUAAAGAAGAGAGCCGGCCAUGUUUGGUUAGCUUGUAGCCGAUAUAUAAGGUUUUUCCAUUUUCCAUUUUCCAUUUUAAUGUUCUUGUUAAUGCUAAUGUGUAGAUCUAAUACCAAUGCUGUUUAAAUUUUUUUAAAUAAUAUAUAGUUCUGCAUGUGUCAUAGAAUGCCUGUCUCUGAUGUUUAGACUUUAGAUGUUAUGAUCAUUGGCAUGUCUAAGCACACUUUGGUUCUCUCAAACUUCUUUUUGUUUCCUUUCACUUGUUUCUCUUAUAGAGAAUAAUCUAGAGUCUGCUCUGAAAUGUCAUUGUUUUAUCAAUUUUUGGGAUUAGUUUGACAUAGUAUUUUUAUUUGAAUUUUAAUCUAAUGCUCUUGUGUGUAUAGAGUAUAAUAUAUUUGCCUAUUGGUUUUAGUUUUACAUUAAUGAGAUGUUAAAUUAGUCCAAAAUCAGGUAAGAGGGAUGCUAGAGCACUUGGAAAUUUAUUAACCAAAAUGGUAAAGGAUAGAAGUUGGGCUCUAAUCGUUGGAUGUAUAUGUUCCUUCAGAUAACUGGAUUAUGUCUAUGACAUUUUUUAAGUGUUACUAAUAUUCAAAUGUUCAUUGUCUGUAAGUUUGUCUCUAUUUAUAAUUUAGCAGUUAGUUUAUGACAUGUUUGAUUUUUUUGAAUUUUUUCCAAAUUGCUACAUUUCUUUAGCUCAAUUCCCCCCCAUCCUAAACAAAAUAAAUAAAUAAAUGAAAGAAAAGCAAAGAGAUAGAGACCAAAGGGAGGUGGGAUUUUAAAAAGUUAUUUCUUUUAAUGUUAAUUUUGCAUAUUUCUUUAACUUUGUUGGUUGUUUCAUUCUUACACCCUUAAUUGGUACUAUCCAGCCCUAAUGGGCAACAGUUUGUGUCCUGCAAGGAGGUUUCUUCAUGCUUGCUCUCUGCUGGUGAACUUAAAGAUUCAAGCCAGUCAACUUCAAGUCUCACUGGCCGUGGCAUUGGUUCAGGUGUCAAACCAACAUCCGAAAAUGUAAGUUACUGAUCUUGUUUGUAUUGAUCAUUUACACUUCAUCUCCAUCUUGAUUAUGCUUAUCAAUGAUGAGAAUGUUAAAUGCUGUUCACAGUUUCCAAUUAUAUGUACAUCUUCUGAACAUGAGAGGCAAGCUCCAUUACUAAGAAUGGGAAGUCCAUGGGAGGUCCAGAGAGCUGAAACAAUAAAAUGCCACAAAUGCACCAUGACUUUUAAUCAGCAAGAUGAUUUUAUAUGCCACCUGUUAUCAUCUCACCAAGGUACAGUAAAGAGUUCUGGACAUGGUACAUCAACUAAUGAGGAGGUGAUAAUUAAAAAUGGAAAAUAUGAGUGCCAGUUUUGUUAUGAACUGUUUGAAGAAAGGAGUUGCUACAGUAGCCAUCUUGGUGUCCACAUGAAGAACAAUACGAAGAAAGUUGAAGGUUCAGUUGGAGUAUUAACAAUGCAAAACAGCGUUCAGCCCUUCAAUUCCGCUAGCAACAGUGAGAUAAGACCUGGUUUUCCUUGUAGCGGAGCUAAUGAAAAUGCUCUAGUUGAAACGUAUACUGAUAAACACAGUUACGAAUGCAAUUUUUUGUUUCGUGAGAAAACAUUAGCUGACAAAACCUGUGAUAAACAAAAUAAAUUUUGUAUCAUAACUAAUAAUAAAGGGGAGGUCACUGAUACUGCUGCUGUUGAACUUAAUGUUUGUUUGGGUUCUGAAAAAGUCUUUUUUACUGCUGAGAGUAGUGGGAUGUCUCAAUCUUCAGAUAAAGUAGAUGUUCGUUUGGCCCUUCACUCAAUGGAGGAGAAGAAGAGAGAGAUGGCUUCAAACUUCAGUUUACUUGCUCCAAAUGCUGAGGGAAAUAUGUUUAGUGAUGAAAAUCUUGAGUAUAGACAUUUUGCUAGCUUUCUGAAAGGGAUGGAACCUGAUUGUGAGGAGAAGGUUGUAGGGGAUGAUCCAAAAGCUAAUUGUGCCAAUACUUGCACACGGCCAGAUAGUGUCACAAUUGAUGCCGAGCAGCAAAAUUGCUCUGAAAGUUGUUUGCUCACUCUAUCCAGCAACGAACAAAGAGGUAAUCUUGUAGAUUAUGUGAAAGGGGCUUCUGUUACAAUAGAUUCUGCACGAGAAGUAGGUUCUGGAUGUGGUUUAACUUCAUCUAAAGAUGAUAAAUCAUGUGUCAUCAACAAUAAUUUGUUUCUUGCCUUUACAGGCACAUUAGAUGAUCCAGAAUCUAUUGUGGUCAGUGAAUCUGGGAAUAAUGACUCUACUAUUGGUUUUCAAACCAAUCACCGCGUAAAGAAAUCCUCACAGGACAGUGAAAGUGCCUUGCUUACUUUACAUGGAAGGGAGCAAAUCUUUCCUUCUGAUAAUAAUGCAUUUAAGGUCUCUAGUCGGAGAGUUGAGGUGUCUGAAUUUGACGAAAUCCAAAAGUCUAGUGGAUUAAUUCAAGCUGGCAGCCAUGACAGUGGAUUGGAUAUGAACAUUCUGGCUAGUGUCAGGCAAGCAAAGACUAGAGAUUUUCUAUUUGGUCCAUCUUCAUAUAAGAAAACAUUUACCAGCACAGUGGAGGAGUGUAAACAGGUUAAAGGGUCUGAGAGCAGUUUACAUGAACAGUCUGCUAAUCAGCAAAACAGUAGCAAAGAAACUAGUAUGAAUAAAGUUUCUUUCAUUACAAUAGAGGAGCCCAAACACAAAGUGGAAAGCUCCUUGAUUGGCAAUGCUCAUGCCAGACUAGGCGCAUUUGCUCUGACAGGCACUGGGCAGGAAAGUUCUUCCCCUCUUUCUUCUGAGAAUUGGGAGAAAUUUGCUGGUAAAAAUAAUGUACCAUGUAUUGGCAGCGGCACUUUUCAUGAACCAAAGCAAAAUAAAGGUGCUUUUGAGGAUUUAUUCUGUCUAUCUGGUAGUGAGCAAACACAGGUUGCAAAUAAUUUGAGUAUGAUUCAUGCAGGCACAGCUCAUGAUAGGUCCAGGUUACAGGAUUUUGAAAAUGCAAGGAAUAAUGAAAUAAUGAUUGGUUUUGGCAAUCAUGCUCGACGUACUGAGAGUUCCAUGACUGGACUCACAUGGAAAAGUGAUGAAGGAAGUGUCCUGCUGAGUGGUUUGGCUGAUACUUCAUCUCAAUUGUUGCAAUCAUCUGGUUAUUACUCAACAUUUGAUGUGAUGUCACAUAAGGUACAGACAGGAUCACUCUUAUAAGCUAUGAUAUAAUACAGAAAAGCAUGAAACCCUUUUUUUACUUGGCAAAAUAAUAUGAUAUAAAAGUCAUUGCUGAUGGUAGACAUCCCCAUAGAAACCAAAGGGAUAGCUGAUUGUACUGUGACCACUAAGUUUAUUUUUUAAAUAAAUGAAUAAAUAAAUGCUGAAAAAGAAUUGGUGUUAGUUUGGCUUAAAAGAAUUUGACGUGUACAAUUUCAUUGUAAUGGACAGGGUGAAGGUGAAAUGUUCAACGUUAGUGGGAAGUGCAGCAAUGUAUCAGGUUUUAAAGGGCUGAGAUCAGAUAGCAUAGAACAUAUGGAAUAUAAUAUUUUAACUGCUCAAACAAGCUCUCGUUCAGGAGAUUCCAAGGUACCAUCAUAUGAUUCGGAGAUGGCUCUAACAUUUGAUUCCUCUAUUUGGCUUGGGAAGGAAGCUUUACCACUGUUGCCUAAGGUAGAUGGCCGACAUCAGGUCACUACCUUGUGUUCCUGGUGUGGAAAUGAGUUUUAUCAUGAGGCUGUUGACAUUGAGGCACAGAGAAACUCAAUGGCUGUUAUGUGUGCCAGCUGUCGGGCGAGAUUCUCUAGGAAUCGUGAUUUUCUGUAGAAGAGCGUGUCUAUGAACACACCAGCAUAACGAGGGAUUGCUUCUUGCCAGUGUAAUGACCAAUAUCUGUGAUUUAGGUAAUUUCUGCAUCCAAACAAGACUAUUCUUUGCUGGAUAUAAGCCAAGCUUUCGUGAUCGCUAUGCCUUUUUUCCUAUAUUCUAGUGGACAUAGCAACUGUUAGAACCAUUUGAUAUGGUUCCCAACUCAAGGUGAUAUAGUCCAAGUUGCAUCCGACUUAGUAUUUAACCCAAUAUGGUCAAUGGAAAUGAUACACUUCGCUACAUACAUUAGCAUAAGAUUUUGCAAUAUCAUUUUUGAACUUCCUUUCCUUUUUGGCAUUUCUAUUCUUAUACAUUUAAUAAUGCCUGAGCUGUUCCUUUUUCCCCCUUCAAAUGUUGCAAGGGAACAAGAGUUCUCACCAUCUUUCAAUGGGAUUUGAUCUAGUUGAUGUUGUUGAAGGUUUUUGAGGCUUGUGCUACUGUGCAAUGAAUAAUAUAAUUUUAGAGAUAUAAACAUGCCCAAACCUGACACAAACUGCUGUGCCCAAAAAAUUGAUUAAAAGAUCAGGAAGAGUUUAUUGUAUUGUCCUGUAUAAUUUUGUGAAGCUACUUGGCUGUUACUUGGAGCAUUUAAGAAUUCUAGAUCUGACAUUAUCUUGUGCUGUGGCCCUUUUCUUUCAACAAACAAAACUAAACUGAAAUAGUUGGAUUUAUGCAUAAAAAGGCAUAUAUAUUUCUACAGGAAUGAAUCUAUUUUCUGCCUGGGUGGGGUCAAGUCAGUUUUUGAUCUUAUGGACAAGUUCAGUUUUUUGGAAUUUGGUUCUGAGCUUUUCUGUAUGUGCAUGACUUCAUGGGUCUAUACACUUCUCUUUCUUAUUUGAAUGAGAGCAUUGAAAAUGAAAUGAGGAAGCCUCUUUUUAUUGCUUGCUUCUUUUUAUCUGCAUUUACUAAUCUUUAUCCUUCCCUCUCAACCUUGACACUCCUAAACCCUAAUGAAAGAAAAAUGGACAACACUCCUUAAAGAUGGUAGACAUUAACAAUAACAUGCGUGUGCUAAUGGCUUCUAAAUUUUUUGUAGACAGCAGCUGAAACCAGAUGGAAGGCUCAUGAAACCAGCUGAAACCAGUCUGCUGAAGGGUUCCUCAAAUUAUCCUUAGGUGUCCUGGCAUGAUGCAGAGAUUGCAGUUCUGGUAUGACUCUUUGUUUGGCCUCUUUUCCCCUUGGUGCAAAUGACUUCUUCAUCAGUUCUGUUGAGAUUUGACUUUUGAGGAUCUUGUGUGGUUUCUUUAUCUCCAGCUCAAGAGAGAAUCAAGAGAAAAUUUUUACACUGAUCUGGGCAUUAACCGGAAUGCAUAACCUUCUUCUGUUUUACUUUUGCACUUUAAAAAUGUUUGGUGCAGCAAUUAUUUUUUGACGAUUGUGCUGCUUGGGGCCUUGGCACAUUUGUAUAAAUAACACAAGUUGCCUCCCCUCCCAAUUUCUCCUCCUCGGCUUUUACUACCUUUUGUUGUGUUAAAGUCUACCCUAACGGCCUGGGUUAGCAUCAGUGAGCUAACCCCCCCCCCCCCCCCCCCCCACCUCUGGAUUCGCUUUGAUCAUUUCUUGUAAGAUUAGUUGUCAAAAAACUUUAUGGUGUUGUAUUGGAUAUCAGGUAGCUUUUCAUAGCCUUAGCAAUUCAAGAGAAGAAAAGAAAGAUAUUUUCAAGAUACCAGGAUCCGUUUGUAACAUAUUGUAAUCUGCUUUUAGAUAUUCGUACGACCUCGACACUUUUAAAAGUUCAGACUUUACUUGAUGUUUGUUGUGGGAGCAAAGCUAACAUCACGAGUCAUGAAAAUCAAAGUUGUAAAAAAAAUCUAGAGGGAAACGUUUUAAAGGCAUUGCUGUUGCUUUCUGUUCCUGAAUAAGAUGUCUGACGGGUUACUUGUAUCUCUUAGUAACGGCCAAUAAUUUGAUACUUUACUUAAAAAAGAAAACUAAUUAUUGUUAUUGGUAUGUCAUAUGCGUCAAGGAGAAUUUAAAUUUUAAGAAAGAUAAAAGAAAGAAAAAAAAAGAGUGGGGGGCUGUGACGGAGGUUAUAAGGACGGGGGCUUUCUUCGCAAUUCCACUCGAAGAAAAAACUGAAUACCGUAUGUCAGCUUGAUGAGCAUUGCGGGUAUUAGGCCCAAAAUGGGAUCUCCAAAACAUGCUUCUCAAUGACAAUAAUUUAUAGAAUUUAUAGCCUAUUAAUUAGGUGGAUGAUAACUGUUCAUAGCUGUUAUAUAAAUAACAGUUGAUAUUGUCUUUGAGAACUGAUUUUUACAAGUUGUCAAAAGAGGUUAUAAAUAAAUUAUUAAAACAACAGAAAUAACAAUGACAUGUAAUUUGUGUUUUUCCAGAUUUUGCAAUAAUAAAAAAAAAAAGCAAUGGAAAUUUCCCAUUUAGUGUAAUCAACAAUCAGUAAAAGUUGGAAAUGAGAGGAGAAAAAACCCCGAAAGAAGGAUAAGAGUAGAAGCUAAAGUCAAGCGAAUAAAGACAAAAAACGUUAAAAGCGACCUUCAGAACCAAAAAUAAUUUUGUUAAAAAAAUAAAAAUAUCAAAUCUGAAAAAAAAAAAAAAUCAAAAACUAAAAAACUAAAAGAAAGAAGCGUCGUGGCGCAACUUCGUAAUUGUGAUAUCAUGAAACAUCAUCUUCCCAUCCUCUUAGUCUUCCUUCCUCUUCGUCUCCUCCUCUCUCUUUCCUUUCCGCCCUUUUCCUCCUGUUUUCCAAACACCAGUUUUACUAAUUACAAAUAAAUAUUAUAUUAUAAAACAAAAUACUUUUUUUUAUUCGCUACAUAUUAUUAUAAUUUUUAUCAAUAAAAAUACACAUAGAAUUUAUUUUGUCUCUGGCCUAAAGCCUGCUGUUGCUCUCAAUUCUUUCAGACAUACUUUUAUCCUCCCAAAUUAAAUUCCCAAAAUUAAGUUAAAUACAAGCGAAAAAAAAUAUAAACCACGAUACCUUAUCUUCUCUGUUAAAAUGCAACCGCUUUUCCUUCCUAUUUUUUCCUUCGCCGUUUCAGUUUCAGAAAUCCCUAUUUAGGGUUUUAUUUAAAAAAAAUUUAUUGGCGAGUCGCUUUUUGUGUAAUAUUGUGUGAAUCGGCAAUCCGUUGUCGGUCGUUGAUGGGUACGAAGGCAUGGCAAACGGGGAUCCUAAUGUUGGUUUUGUGGGGGAGGCUAGCGUGCGCCGUCUCCGUUCCCGUUAGGGUUCCGUUAUGUCCCAAGCACUCCGUUUCCGACACGAUCUUUGACUUUCGAGACUCCUACUGUCCCAUUAACUCUGAGUUUAGUGAAUCUGUCGAUUUCGUUGGUGUUACCGAGGUACCUUCAGAUUUUUUUCUCUUACCUUUUAUUUUUCCCUUCAAAUUUGUUUAUUUAUUUUUGGUGAAAAUACUUUUUUUUAUUGGCUGAUUUGAUGCUGUAUUGUUCUAAUUUGAACUAGGUCUAGAGAAUUAUUAGUUAAAAUGCUUUUUUAAAAAAAAAAUAUUUUUUUUAGUUAUGAGAUGGUAAAUAUGCUGUCAAGAAAUGAGGACUGGAUUUUUAGGGUAUUUUUUUAGCUGCUUGUAAGAGUAAACUUCGCUUUAGAAAGGUAGAAGCAUAAUUUUUCAAGCUUAUAUCAAUUACCCUAUUAUUUUGAGUUGAUAAAUAUCAUAAUUAACGGUUUAUUUUAUUAGUUCAAAAAUACUGCUAUCUUGAUAUAAAUUGGCUAGAUAAGUUCUCAAGAAUCGUUUGAAUGAUCCUGGUGGAAAUGGAGAUAUGCCUACCUUUAAUUUUCAUUAAGGUUUUAUUUAUUUAUGUUUUCUAUAAUUUUUGUUGCAUUGGGUCUGAAAUCAGUCCAUGGGAGGAUUGCAUCAAGUUCUGAUUAUAUUUUUUGUUUAUACAAAUUUUUAAUGUUGCUUACUUUUUGCUGCUGUGAAGGGAGAUGAGGUUUCAUUGCAAAAGGCGCUUAACAUGGUUCACAAGAAUAGUCGUGAAUAUGUAGCAGUGCUUUUCUAUGCAUCUUGGUGCCCCUUUUCUAGGUCUUUUAGACCGAGCUUCUCUAUUCUUUCUUCUUUAUAUCCUUCCAUCCCCCAUUUUGCUAUCAAAGAAUCAACUGUCAGGCCAAGGUUUGCAAAUGAGUAUUGUCAUUUGGUAUUUGCUUGCUAUGAGUAUUUAUAUCUUGUUAAACUAAUGAGUGGUGGUGUUGUUUACUUCAGCAUACUCUCGAAGUAUGGAGUUCAUGGGUUUCCUACACUUUUCCUUUUAAAUUCUACAAUGCGUGUGCGUUAUCAUGGAAACCGCUCUUUUGAAUCUCUAGGUGCAUUCUAUAGUGAUGUCACUGGUAAGGCCUUUUUCUGCAGCUUUUGAACUUUUGUGACUAUUACUAUGGUAUGUUGAGCUGAUUUAUUUAAUAGUUUGAAAUUGAGAUGAUUCAUCUGUAUGUUUUGACUAAUGACAUACUUUUGUAUGUAGUUUUUCAUUCUUCAUUCUUUCUUUAUAUUUUAUUUCAUGUUCAUUUUUCUUUCUGUUGGUGCUCAAUCAAGCAUGCAUGUGGUUCUGUUUACCGCAUGAGAUUGUGGAUUUGAUGGGACAAGAGUGAUAAGAUAGUAUUGAACGGUACACUGUCUCCAGUAUGUCUUACUUUUGGUGUAUGUAAUGUAGGACAAAAUUGUUCCCAUCUCAUUCCAUGUGGGAUAGCCUACUUCUCUGCAUAAGAUUGUAUAAUCGUACAUGGAUUAGAUGAUGCAAAAUGAAAAUAAACAAAAAAGGAAAGAUGAGUUAGGACCAUUGAAUCAUCAAUUUUGUAUUGUCCUAUUACUUGUACUAUCCAUGAUCCCAAAUGCCAAAGUCCAAAGACAACUUGAAGUUGUUUUUAGUUCUUUGCAUGGGCUUUAAUGGAUUUAUAUCCCCCUUCCCCCUUUUUUCCCAACCCAAAUGCAACCCUCCCCCCAAAUUAAUAUAAGUUGUUAUGGCCAUUCAUGUAAGAUAGAGAGAGUGAAAAUAAUUGUGGUGGAGUAAUAUAAAACGUCAGCAGGCUAUGUAAAUCAUGCUAACCUCUUUGCUUCGCCAUUUAUUUAUAAUGAUAUCUGUUUUUCCUGCUUUGUUAUUCUUAUUGGCUUUGUUUAAUUUUCUAAUGAAUAUAUUACCUGGUCGUAGGUAUCAAGAACAAAUCUCUGGAUAAAACAUCACUGGACAAAAUUGGGCGCUUGUCAAAUCAUGAGAAGCAUAAUAGCACUGAGCAGGAAAGCUGCCCAUUCUCAUGGGCAAGGUCUCCAGAGAAUUUGCUUCGACAAGAGACCUAUUUGGCUCUGGCUACCACUUUUGUGCUUCUUAGAUUGCUUUACCUAUUGUAUCCAACUUUGCUUGUAUUUGCUCAGUUCACUUGGAGAAGGCUCAUACGAAAUAUGAAGUUGGGGAGUUUGUUGGAACAUUCUUUGGCCUAUCUGAAACGAGCAAUUCAGUUGUUUAAUUCCCUGAAGGAGCCUUGUAAGAGAAGCAAUUUGCAACGCGCAAUGAAUGCUAGAGCAUGGGCCUCUAAAUCCCUUGCUACUGUUUCAAUCGGUGAUGGCAACACAAGCCGUGCUGUGCCAAUGAGCGGAUGUCGCUGACUCAUUAGCUGGUGUGGAAUAGGUAUAUGUUUCCUGUUGAAAGUUUGGCUACAAUCUCCUUCGUGGCAGGAGCCUUUUUUGUUACAGAUUUUCUCUACACCAAUGUUCCGUGUUUAAUUUGAAUUAUGCUAUUGUAUCUUGAUACUGUACUAGUUAAUUUUCAUUUGUUAAUAUGAUUUAGAAUACAUCUUUGCCCGUGAGUGGCAAAUCUGCAACUUGUGAAUAGGUUACAACUAAGAAAUGCAAUGUAUUGACGUCGCCAUCAUCUACAUAAGCCAUUUGGCUCUGUUAAAGCAUAUUUACAACAUCUUGUUAAACACAAGUGGUCAAAAAUUCAUGUUGAAGCUGCGCAAUCUUGUUCUCUAAUCGUCUUGACCGGAUAAAAGGAAAUGAUGAAAUUCAUGCCGCCACCCCCUUUUAUAUCCGCCUAGGCGGUGGUUGUUUGGAACUUGGAAAUGAUCUGUUGAAGAUAAGGAUAUAAAACAUAUCAGGCUACCAUUGGACCAUCUCCAUUAACCAUUUUGAUCAGUUGCAGAGCUUGACCAAAAUGCAAAGGUUCACUUUUCCGUGCUUACAGGCAUCAAAAUGAAGCAAAAAUCCUACUACGGAUAAAGAAGGUAAAUGCUAUGGUAUCAGCAGUAUGUUUUACACACUUACGAAUGUGUUGUAUUAAUGUUUUACUGGGUACAAUUAAUUUUAUCAAAAUGAGAUUAAGGGCUAUGACUAUGAGACAACACAGAUAAAUGUAUAACCAAAAUGAAACAGUACUAGCAGUAUCAACUGUUGGCCAGAUAAAGAAGCCAGAAACUUUAAAAACCCCCGCCCAGUGUUACAUAAAUGGCAGGAGUAUGCCUGGCUAACAAUGAACAAAACCACACCAAAAGCAUCAGCACCUUGAAAGGCUCCCACACCUUCUGCACGAAAAUAACAUCCAAUAUGAGGAACUGAGCUUCACUCAAUGAUGAGUCGGCCAUGGAACAUGUACCUCCAUUUGCUCGGGAAUAGCUAGCAUUAAGGCUUUAUGUAUCCAUGGUGGCAAUAUCUUUCUUCACAAUCUGCCAAGAAAAGACUUCCCUACAGGUCAGUACCAUCAAUCAUUAUAAUGUAAACAACUAGAGUUUGCAAAUAACACAUAACAAAGUCAAAUAAUCAUGGAAAAUGCAUUAUAGAAAGUUCAUGGUUCCACUAGAGGUGUCACUUAGUUUUCCAUGUUCUAUCCUCCGGCACCAUUAAGGUCAACAAAUAUGUCCCAUGAUGGAAAAGGGGUGGCAGGAUAAAGAGUCUAAGGGAACUGACUGGUAUCUAUGUUGUGUACAGAUAGCUAUAUUUCCCUUAGUCUUACUCUGUCAAAGAAUUGAGGAUUUGCUACAACUGAAGGUCCACAGAUGGGAAAAAUAAAUAUAUGCAGGUUUGUGUAUUGUCAAUGAAGAGUCUACUAGCAGUAUACCAAUUAAUUCAUGCAACUUGCCCCUAAUCAAAGGAACAAUAGCCACAAAAAUGAAAACAACAACUGAAUCUAUCAUUUCUAAUCAAUAUCUGUAACAUGCACAUGAAUGCAAACAUGCCCAUCUAUGAACACAAAUUAUUAAUGAUAAGGAGAAAGUUUCUUUCAGCUGUAUUUUUUGCAAAUUGCACUCUCUUCAAGAGACAAUACUCACACCUAUAAGCAACAACAAUUGAACAUUAAAUAUAUUUUCUCAAUACCUAAGACAUGCACAAAUACAAUUACCAACUGAAAGGAAAAGCUCAAUCAGCAGCAGUAUUCAUGUAAAUUGACCAAACCAAAUUUACAUGAGAAAAUUGCAGUUAUCAAAGAGAAAAGUAGUGCCUAAUCAAGAAGUGUAAAAACAUUUAAAAGGAACUUCUAUGCAUAAAAAUUAUAUCCAUAAACAUGAAGGCAUCAACAAUAAACACCAGACAGCAAUUGCUAGUCAAUACCUGUGAUAUGUAUUGCUUAAUUCUCUCACACACUGGUCCAUCAAGAGCUCUCUCAGCAAGCUCAUAAAACAAAGUAUUGCCUUCAGGGCCGAUAACCUUGUCUUUCUGCAGAUAUCUACAAGAAGAAUACAGGAAUAACGAUAUGUAUAAUGUCCAAAUCAAUUGGCUGUUGGGGGUAAAAGCAUUAUAAACCACAGAGUCCUAGUUUUCAGGUACACCCUUACCUUUGCUGGACAAGUGUCUCAACUACCUGCUUAACAUUCCCGAGUACUGGAUGGUUUUCAUCAGUUGCAUGCAAUCCCAUUCGCUUCAAAUGAUGCCAAAGAUUUUCUGCACAAGCAAAAUGGUUUUUUUGUUUAAAACAAGAAACCAAAAAAGAACAAAUUUACGCCAUAGUUCAUCAAGAAACCAAUGUUAAGAACCUCCAGUAGCAGUACACAUGCGACAUUACACUCCAGCUAAAUAAAUUAACUUGACUGAUGUAAAACAGGAAAGCCUGCUAAGUAAAUGAUCGAUAAAUAUAUAACAUAAACUAAAAGGCAGAUUCCCACUAUCCCAUACAUCCUGACAUGUUGGUUUUAUAAAGGUUAAUACCCAAAAUCUCAAAAGUUUAUAGUUAGAACAAUAAUAUGCACUACCUUCCGCGAUUUUGCCUCCUGCAAGGUGCACAAUACUAAUCACAACGAAAGUAAAACCAGUCAAGUGAGAUGUAUUCACAUCCUCAACAUAUUUCCUAUACACCUCAGCUGGUAACUGGCUUAUGAUAACAUAAGAUUUGGCAUCAGCCCCACCUGAAAAACAAUAUAUAUCAUUGAUAUUAUAUUUAGAGCAUAUGAAAAUGAAUUGUGAAAUUUCAACCAAAAAAAAAAUGUGGGGUAAUAAAAUGUUACUCUGUUGAGAUAAUCGGGCAUGGUUUGUCGAAGAAGGACGAGAUCUUUGAAGUUCCCUCAAUUCAUAACCAAAAAUGGUGGAGAGUUUGUCUUUAGCCUCAUUAAUAACAAAAGCAGGAAGUGAACGGUGACGAUAGUUUUUAGUAACCAAUUGAGAAAGCUCUUCCCUUUUAAUUGCACAUCCUGAGUUCUGGUGUGUUUUAAACAGUAUGUAACGAAUUACUUCCGCAACAAGCUUGUCUUUUUCCUACCAAAAUAUUAAAAAAAAAACUGUUGAACAGAUUGAAUAAGUAAAUUCGAAAGAUAUAAUAAAAUUUUGAAACAAAAAAGUACCUCUUUUGAUAUUUCGAAUUGAGAGAAAUCUUCACCGGAAUUUGCCAUCUUACAUCGAAAACGAAAGAGGCGUAAGGCUAACCUCAGUGAUGGGGAGAAGAGAAAGAGACGCGAAAUGCUCGGGUGGGUUUUGGAGAGGGAAAAAAACCCAAAGUUAUCCGUUGUUUGGUUGGUGAGAAAAUUGGGGGAGAGAGUGAAGAUGCUGUGGCGGGAAAAGCUGACUAUAUGUUUUGGCACCUCCGCUUCGAUCAAUGCCACCGCACUCUGACUCUGCCAAUUAAUUACAGCACAAGAGUAAUUUAACAAAUAAAACUGUAUAAAAAUAUGAUGAAAAUUAAAGUAAUAGAAUUUUCUUUUUACACUUUUUCCGCAAAAAUGGAAAACAAUCAAAUUUUGUGUAAAGAACCGUGUCCAAGGAACCUGACUAAGUCAUCAGAAAAACGAUUGGGGCCCCCACUGGAUCACAUCAGUCGUGGUCCCAGUCAACAUCACUUCUCCCAUGGGAUCACGCGUCCCCAAUCGGACGGCUAAAACUUCCCCUAAAUCCCUCACAUGCACCGCUCUGAUUCCACCCUCGCCCUCACCAAACAUUUCAACUUUCCAAAGGGUUUGUUUUUCCCCUUUCAAAGUCCCCACCCCUACCCCCGAAAACUCAUUUUGAACCGUCGAUUCAAACUCCCCAGCAAACCACAUCCAACGGUCAGAAACAAAGUACGGCAUUCCUAAAAGGCAGUUACCUUCCUUACCCCGGCUCUCCGAAACCGCAAAAGCUAAAAAGCAAAGCCUCAAACAGAGAGAAAGGAACGAGAGAGAGAUAGAAGCGAUGGAGAAGGAAAGAGAGCAGCAAGUUUACUUGGCGAGACUCGCUGAGCAAGCUGAAAGAUAUGACGGUAAAUUUUAUUUAUUUACUCAACAAAAGAAUAUAUAUAUAUAUAUAUAAAUCUCUUGUUGAUUUUUUUAUACCCUUUGAUAUUACUUCAUAAUUUUUGGGGAUCUCUCUAUUUAAUUAUUCUCGAGUUUUAUAUUGGCUUUUCCCCAAUGCAUGAAGCAGGAUCUUUUCUAAUAAUUUAUUUUAUCUGAUUUAUAUGAUAGUUUUAUUUUUAUUUUUUUUUUUGUGAUGUCUCUUUUUUCUUUUUGCCCUUUAUUUUGGCCUUUUUGUUUGGUUUUUCAGCUUGAUGAUCUGUAGAGUAGAUGAUAGCAGAGGCUUUAGUUUUGACUUGAUAAUAUUAUACUGGAAAUAUGUAAUGAAGUUGAGAGUGAAAGUAAAGCAGUUCAUUUAUCUGUAGUUAAAUUUUCUUUUCUUUUUGUAGCAUAUGUAUGGUAAAGAAGAGGAGAUUAGCUUAUCUAGGCGCAAAGAAGUGCGAUUUGAAUGUAGUAUUAUUGACUGACUGGUGGAGUGACAAAAUGCUUCAUUUUACUUUCAUGUGAAAUGUUUAUGUUUGAAAUGUGUUAAAGUAAUUGCUCGUUCUCGAUCAAAUAUGAUAUUGUUUCUUACUCUAUCUGGUUUUACUUAUUAACAAUUUUUGAAGAAACGGAAUGCAAAUAGAAGAAGAAUAUAAAAAUGAAAACAUAUGGUAGCAAUUGUUUAAUCGUAGUCAUGAGCAUCCAUGGGACUCAUCGCUCAUCUACUAGUUUGUUAGAAUUUUACCUGGUUUGACAGCUGUUUUGUUGUGAAAAAUUUUGUUCCAGAAAUGGUUGAGGCCAUGAAGAGGGUUGCAAUGUUGGAUGUUGAACUGACUGUGGAGGAGAGGAAUCUGGUAUCUGUGGGAUAUAAGAAUGUGAUUGGAGCAAGAAGGGCAUCAUGGCGGAUACUGUCUUCAAUUGAACAGAAGGAGGAGGCCAAGGGUAAUGAGCAAAAUGUGAAGAGGAUAAAGGAGUACAGGCAGCGGGUUGAAGAUGAGCUUUCAAAGAUCUGCAAUGAUAUCCUAUCUGUUAUUGAUAAGCACCUCAUUCCAUCUUCCUCAACUGGGGAAUCAACAGUUUUUUACUAUAAGAUGUGAGGAUUAUCUUACUUGCCUGUAUGUUUUUAGGCAGUGGGUGUGAGUAUGUCCUUAUUUGUUGCCUUUUCUUUAACAGGAAAGGAGAUUAUUUUCGUUAUUUGGCAGAAUUUAAAGCAACUGAUGAUCGUAAAGAUGCUGCUGAUCAGUCGCUUAAGGCUUAUGAGGUGUGUGAAAUUCCCCACUUUUCAUGUUGGCUCUUCUCCUAUUUUGAUUUCAUAUCAUGAAGUUGGAGGACUGUUUAUCAUUAUUUACAUUGUAGGCUGCCACCUCCACUGCAAGCUCAGAUUUGCCUCCCACUCACCCUAUUAGACUUGGCCUGGCUUUGAACUUCUCUGUUUUCUACUAUGAGAUAUUAAAUUCUCCUGAGAGGUUAGAUUGCCUCUCUCUCUCUCUUGAUCUCUCCCAUUCACACCACACGCACACAUGUAAUCUAGUGUGAAAAUUUUCUUUUCAUUAGGGAGAAAGAUGGCAAUGUCAAUAUUUUCUUUCACUUAGUGCGAAUUUCAUAAUAGUUCCCUCAAUAUGCAUUGUUGUUUACUUAUCUUAAAAAUCAUAGAUAAAGCACGGAGCUAUUAAUACAAGUUCUACUUUGGCAGCUAGCUUCUGUCUAAUAUGAUGCAAUAUUCUGAGCAGGGCAUGUCACCUGGCUAAACAAGCAUUUGAUGAGGCUAUUGCAGAACUUGAUAGCCUUAAUGAAGAAUCUUACAAGGAUAGCACCCUUAUUAUGCAGCUUCUCAGGGAUAAUCUCACCUUAUGGACCUCAGAUCUGCCAGAGGAAGGAGGUAAUUGUCUGUGUGUGUCUGUGAUUAACAAGUGAAUAUAUGUAUGUGCAUAUCUGGCUUUCCAUGGUUUACGUAUUUUCUGUCUGGACUUUCUUAUGUGUAUGGUUACUUUCAAGAAGCAUAAUUUCCUCCUGCAAAUCACUUUCUGGUGUUAACAAGUUCUGUAGUCAAUUGCAACUAAUAAUUUCCUUUUUACAAAUUUGUUGUUUGAUGUUCCAGGUGACCAAACCAAAGGAGAUGAACCUCAGGCAGAGGUAAGAAAAUGUUCCUCUUGAGUAAUUUUUGGUUGGAUUGAUCAUCUGGUGACUCUUAUCUUAAUAUCUUUUUCAUUCUUUUUUUUGCUUUCAACAAACAAACCUUUUUUUUUUUUCAAUGUUGUUCCCAUAUCUUUGCAGAGUUAAUUGGAUGGAAGAGUAUUCUUUUAAGACUGGGCUUGUCGAGGUAGAAUGGGCUUGCUGCUAGAGUGACCUGCUUUCAACUCAUAAUAGUAGUACCAGGAUUCGUGACCUAUGGCUUGUAUCAAUUUGUUGAUCAGAUGUUUUCCAGACUGUUACUCUGUGUUCUCUUCUGUUUAAAACAUAAUUGAAUCUGUUACUUCGUAGUCUUAUGACCUCUAUUUUCUAAUGUGUUUCUAUUUUUUUGCUUAAUUAGCUUCUUUUUCCAUCUGUUGCAACCUGAUUUGUGAUUUGCUUUAGACUUUGCUCAUUCUUCAUUUUAGAAUCACGCUUGUGCUUUCCAGCCUUUUCUUGGUUUAAUUUGUAUCCAUAGCGUAAAGGUCCAAUUUGAUAUUCAUUUUUGAGAAAUUUCAAACGAGGGGAUAGAUAUUUGUGGAGCAACUGGGUUGAAUUCGAACUGGAACCUUUUGCAAAUGUCAUGUCAUGGGUCAGUGAUCAAUUCCAAACAUCCAUUUGGGCAAUGACGCACUGGCUUUGUUUCCUUGUUUUCGAAAGCAGCUGUUUGAUAAAUCGACCAUCCUCUUUCAGCUAUUGGCCAUGGUGAUGUUUGCACGUAUGUACUCUCCGGUCCUACAGGCUAGAAGGGGUCUCUGGGAUAUCUACCCUGCCUUUUUCAAUGGAACCUAAUUAUGAAUUGGAAAAUGCCUUCUAAUAUAUUUCUUCAGCAUCAUCUUUGCGCCCCAAAAAAGGAUUUAAAUGUAAAAAGGAAAAUGAGCAAGCUUUAUGGGUUGAACCUAAAUUAUUUA
rnacentral:lncRNA from 1 species